rnacentral:lncRNA from 1 species
AUCACAUAACAAAACUUCUAAGAACAGAAACUCUAGCAAAUAACCAACAGAUGUUAUGCUUUGAAAAAAUUUUCAAAACCCAAAAGAUUUAAAAAAGAAGCUUGAACGGAACUCCCACCAAGUUGGUGCAACUGGAAUCGCUCCCCUCAUUCUUCCUCAACCACAGUGCCCUUCUCACUCACGUAGAUACCAUCAAGAAAUUUUCGGAUAUCCUUGUUCUUGACAUGACAUUUCUGUACAAAAGAGAGCAGGUAAGAGCAUGAAAGCAAUUCCAGUGACUUAGGAUGCAUCUUUCUCAUCCACAGGAACAACAACUCUAUAUUGCGCAAGAAAGAAUACUACAAUGUGCUUAAUGCUCAUGAGUACAUAUUCUAGUGUGUACAGAAAUGCUAGCACGCACUCGCACAUGAAAAGAGAGAGAAAAGGAGACCUGGUUGAUCAAGGCUGCCGACCGUGAAACAAGCUCAAUAUCAUUGCCAUCUAGGACGAGCUCAUCCUUCACCUUUUCAGAUCGUAGAAUACUAACCCCAUCAAGCAUAUCAACCUUCCUAACCUGUAGAAAACAACUAUAACAACAUCAGAACAUGUCCAAAGCCAAUUACACGCCAAUCUGCACCACAAAGUCUGCAUUUUGUCACGGUAUUGCAAACACUGCAAUUCAACAAUAACUCAUCCAUGAAACAGGAACUUAAUCCCAGAAGCCAUAAUCAAAACAAUCUUCAUUGCAAAUAAUUAGAAUACAGCUAUCAGUAACAACUAAUUAUUCCAUACCACCAAUCUACAAUAACUUGUAUCCAUGAAACAGAAACUUAAUCCCCGAUUCCAUAAUCAAAACAAUCUUCAUUUCAAAUAAUUAGAAUACAGCUAUCAGUAACAACCAAUUAUUCCAUACCACCAAUCUACAAUAACUUGUAUCCAUGAAACAGAAACUUAAUCCCAGAUCCCAUAAUCAAAACAAUCUUCAUUUCAAUUAAAUAGAAUACAGCUAUCAGUAACACCAAUUAUUCCAUACUUGCAUGUUGCAGCAUCCAAAGAAAAAUAUAAAAAAACCCAAUCCUUUGGGCCCUGGAAUCCGAGCUUACUGUAUUAUAAGACUCAAAUGAGAUUUGAAAUAGCACACUAGAGUCCAUACACUUAGCACAACAGACCCCGAGACUGGACAGCAUAGAAAUCCAACAAAACUUGCAUUAACAAUAUUCCACCGUGUAAAAUGAAAUCAUCAGCAAAUCACAACAUUUAAUUCCAAACACGUAGCUAGUAAGAUACACUAGUAAAAACUGGCAUCCUGCAUUAUCAAUUCUAAAAACUCACUUCAAUUCUCUCAUAUAAAAAGAUCCUAAAACUAGGUUUCAUUUUCCACUAAUCACAGCAUCUAGAUUAUUAACAUUACCAGGGUUUUACAAAGCCUCGCUGUAUUUCCAUUAAUAUUCUGCUAAUUCACCAAUUACAGAUAUUUAUUUCAUGCUGCAGGAACCCAAAUCUAAAACUUAUUCACAUAUUAACUUUCUCGCAACUCUAAGAUUUCUAGCAACAAAGUCUAACAAAAAAAUGAAAAACCCUUGACCUCAUUUCUUAUACCAUCACACCGGGAGUACCAGACGAGACAGAAAAAAACAAAACUUGGGAAUAAAUUCUUACCUUCUUCUCGCCGAGAAAGUUCCGGAUCUCGAUAGCAGUGUUGCUGUUAGUGAUGGAAGCGUUGAUGGGAAAGUGAGCAUACACAAACCUCAUCUUGUAUCUGUACCCCUUGGUAACCCCAGUAAUCAAGUUCUCCACGUGGCUCAGGGCAGUCCUGAUAGCAGCACUGGUCUUUCUUGUUGCAAACCAGGCAUCGAUCUUCAGCUUUCUCUUCCCUUCCUCGUCUUUGAUCAGCUGAAAAUCAAGAUUCAAAUGCUUGAAGUUCCUGCUCAGCUUGCCUCUUGGGCCUUCCACUUCUAUGAUUCUAGCACUGAUCUUGAUUUUCACCCCGUCGGGGAUGUCCAUGGUCUCGGACGACAGAAUUGUCUUCAUGGUUUGUGGCAGCCGUCUCUCUAGUCUGCUCUCUGUGUUUCAGAGUUGCCCCAAAACCCUAAGACAUAUUUUCUUAAUAAACCCUAGAAUUAUUAAGGCUGAGUGGAGAUGACCAGGACCUGUUUGGUGAUGGUUUAGAUUCAACCCAAGCCCAUCCAAGCCCCGCCCACAUUUACUGCCUUUCAUUGUUGAUUUUCAAACAAUUUUUUUUUAGUUUUAAUUUUUUGAUCUUGGCUCCUCGUGAGCACAUACAAAUCGGAUAUGUGACAUUAUUUAAAUUAUGUUUUACAUAAAAUAAUUUAUUAUAGGAUAAACUCGUGCACUGCUAUCAAAACCUAUUUUUAUCUAACUAUACAAUAAUCAAAGAAAAUAUUUUCAAUAAUUAAAAUGAUCUAAAUUAUAGAGAAAAUAUAUUUCAUAGUCAGAAUUUCUUUUUUUUGUCAAAUUAUUUAUUUUCUUGUUUUGAUAAAAGCAAGUAUUUUUUUAUAAAUAGCAUGGUUUUUUUUGUAAUAAAAAUCCAACACGGUUAGAACAAACAUGUGCAGGAAUUCAAAUGAUUAAAAAAUAAAAUAAAAAAUAGCCAAAAAUAUAAAUCCUUGAUCGAGUUUUUUUUUAUUAUUAGAAAAAUGUUUUGUUUACUAAAACAGUAAUUUAUUAUAUAAAAACUUAGCGUUAUAAGAAAGGUAAAUCACAAAAAAAAAAACAAAAGAAAUCAUUUCAUGUUAAUUUUGACUAAAACAUAUAAAAAAUAAAACAAUGAUUAAUUUCAAAAUUUUAUAUAAAAAGUAAAAAAAUAAAAUAAUUAAUUUCAAUGAAAAUAAUUAUGUAUUUUAGAUCUAUAUGCAUAAAUCAGUGUAUUUUCAAUUAAAAGAAUUAUCAAAAUUGUCUUUUAUGUAGAUUACAGUUUAUUUUGGUGUCUUGGAUUUGUGCAUAAAUCACAAAACAAAGUAAAUACAAUCCUUUAUCUUCCUUGUCAUGUGUGGAUGGUGACGAGAAAAAAGAGAUGGAGAGAGUGAGACUCACCGGCUCAUUUAGGCAUUUCAGCGGGCUAACCUAUCAUUUGAUUUUUUUUAAAAUUAAUUUUUUUAUAUAAUUUUAAAUUAUUUUGAUGCAAUAAUAUUAAAAAUAAAUUUUAUAAAUAAUUACAGUUUGUUACCUUCAUGGUCCUCCCAAUUAAGCUUUAGUAGAAAGAAUAUUCUCCCAACUAUCAACAUGACUAGAUCAUAUUUUCUAGUUACAUGCAAAGUUCUUGUUAUUUUUUUGCCUAGAAAAACAGGUAAAACAACAACAAUAUAACCUCCCGCUAGUUUUAAAAAAUAGCUUAAUUGGUCAGAUUUUCAAAUUCCUUCAUAAUAAUCACCAGUUUGAGUCUCUUUAAGGCUAUUAAAAGUUUAUCCAGUCGUUAACUUUAAAGUUUCAAUAAAUUAAUCGAGAUACUCGCAAACUGACCCGACCAUCCACGGUUACCAAUAUAUAUAUAACAUCCCGCCCCAACUUUCCCUUUCUUUUGUGAGGUAACUGAUGCUACUGCUUCAUACUUCUCGUCAGGCUUCUCCUAUUUUUUUAUUUAAUUUUCCUUUUUCUUUCAUGCAUAUUAACUUAAUUAUUGGAAAGUUUUCAAUUGAAUAUGAGAAUUGUUUUUGUAGAAAAUAUCAAACUUAAUAUUCAAGGCAUUUUUAUUUUUGUGUUUGGAAAGUAUUUUUGUAAAAAAUAAAUUUUUUCAAAAUAAAUUUUUUUGUUUUUCUAAAUUGUUUUAAUGUAAUGAUAUAAAAAUUUAAUUUUAAAAAAUAAAAAUAAAAUAUUAUUUUGAUUUAUUUAUAAAAAAAUUUAAAAAUCAAUCACUACUACAAUAUUAAAUAGACUCUUAAACAUAAACACUAAGUCUAAGAGUAGCUGUGAAAAUUCAUGUGCAUUUGAAGUAAUGACCAAUUUGUCAUAUUAUUAAAAAAAUCUAAAUAUCUCUUAUUAUUUUAGCAAAAUUAAUAAAUCACAAGUUUCGAUAUUCAAUUGACAAUUGAAUAAUGUAUUGGAGGCUAAAUUGAGGUUAUCUUUUAAUCUAAAAAUCAAUAUUUGUUUUAUAUUUUAUUUUUCAAUUUUAAAUAUGAUUUCUAAUUAAUUUUCAAAUUCAUAAUCAUAUUUGUUUUACGAGUGCCAUCUCAUUUUAGAAGUUCUCACUGAUUUAAAUUUAAGUGUGUUUGAUAUUAUAGUAGCUUUUAUAAUUAUAAUUUGAAAAAAAUUGUUCUACUCUGCCACUCCUAUCCGCCGCCUGCGAUCUCCCUUCUCACGAAGUAACAUAUCAAUCUCAAAGCUCACUAAUCAACUGAUUUACAUUUACUCCUUAAUUACUCUCGCAUUAACUCACUAAUCAUUUUGUUUUAUCAGAUUGCCUCUGAUUUUAUAUUUUUACUAGAAUUGGCGGCAAAUUCACCACAAGAUUUCACUUCAGUGAACCCUCGCAUUUCACAUUUGGUGAAAAUAAUUUAAAUUUUUAAUUUGUUAGUGUUUGUGAGUUUUUUUUUUUUUACUGAAUUUGAAUCUUGCGAAUUCGGUUUAUGAUGUAUGCCAAAGACAACGAGUUUCGCUGCAAAUAAAUUCGAAUUCAUGGAGUGUUGCACUUGAUUCGUAUGCGAAAAAGCUGCAAUUGUUUUUCGGAAAAGCUGGUAUUGCUAAUGCUAGUCUUGCUGUCGAAUGUAUAGAGACUGUAAGGCAUUUUUGUGCUCCAAGGGCAUAGCAAGAAAAUACAAAAGCAAUCCCAUAACAUAACAAAACUUCUAAAAACAGAAACUCUAGCAAGAAUCCAACAGAUGUUAUACUUGAAAAUUUUUUGAAAACCCAAAAGAUUGAAAAAAGAAGCUUGAACGGAACUCCCACCAUGUUAAUGCAACUGGAAUCGCUCCCCUCAUUCUUCCUCAACCACAGUGCCCUUCUCACUCACGUAGAUACCAUCAAGAAAUUUUCGGAUAUCCUUGUUCUUGACAUGACAUUUCUGUACAAAAGAGAGCACGUAAGAGCAUGAAAGCAAUCCAGUGACUUAGGAUGCAUCUUUCUCAUCCACAGGAACAAAAACUCUAUAUUGAGGAAAAAAGAAUACAACAAUGUGCUAAUGCUCAUGAGUACAUAUUCUAGUAUGAACAGAAAUGCUAGCACACACUAAAGAGAGAGAAAGCGACCUGGUUGAUCAAGGCUGCCGACCGUGAAACAAGCUCAAUAUCAUUGCCAUCUAGGACGAGCUCAUCCUUCACCUUUUCAGAUCGGAGAAUACUAACCCCGUCAAGCAUAUCAACCUUCCUAACCUGUAGAAAACGACUAUAACAACAUCAGAACAUGUCCAAAGCCAAUUACACGCCAAUCUACACCACAAAGUCUACAUUUUGUCACGGUAUUGCAAACACUGCAAUUCUACAAUAACUCCUAUCCAUGAAACAGAAACUUAAUCCCAGAAGCCAUAAUCAAAACAAUCUCCAUUUCAAAUAAUUAGAAUACAGCUAUCAGUAACAACCAAUUAUUCCAUACUACCAAUCUACAAUAACUCGAAUCCAUGAAACAGAAACUUAACCCCGUAUUCCAUAAUCAAAACAAUCUUCAUUCCAACCCAAUCCUUUGGGCCCUGGAAUCCGAGCUUAAUGUAUUAGAAGACUCAAAUGAAAUUUGAAAUAGCACAUUUAAUUCCCCCGUGUAAAAUGAAAUCAUCAGCAAAUCACCACAUUUAAUUCCAAACACUUAGCUAGUAAGAUACACUAGUAAAAACUGGCAUCCUUCAUUAUCAAUUCUGAAAACUCACUUCAAUUCUCUCAUAUAAAAAGAUCCUAAAACUAGGUUUCAUUUAACAUUACAAGGGUUUUACUAAGCCUCGCUGUAUUUCCAUUAAUAUUCUACUAAUUCACCAAUUACAGAUAUUUAUUUCAUGCUGCCGGAACCCAAAACUAAAACUUUCACCACCAUUAUUCACAUAUUAACUUUCUUGCAACUCUAAUAUUUCUAGCAACAAAGUCUUAAAAAAAAUGAAAAACCCUUGACCUCAUUUCUUAUAGCAUCACACCGGGAAUACCAGACGAGAAAUAAAAACCAAAACUUGGGAACAAAUUAUUACCUUCUUCUCGCCGAGAAAGUUCCGGAUCUCGAUAGCAGUGUUGCUGUUAGUGAUGGAAGCGUUGAUGGGAAAGUGAGCAUACACAAACCUCAUCUUGUAUCUGUACCCCUUGGUAACCCCAGUAAUCAAGUUCUCCACGUGGCUCAGGGCAGUCCUGAUAGCAGCACUGGUCUUUCUUGUUGCAAACCACGCAUCGAUCUUGAGCUUUCUCUUCCCUUCCUCGUCUUUGAUCAGCUGAAAAUCAAGAUUCAAAUGCUUGAAGUUCCUGCUCAGCUUGCCUCUUGGGCCUUCCACUUCUAUGAUUCUAGCACUGAUCUUGAUUUUCACCCCGUCGGGGAUGUCCAUGGUCUCGGACGACAGAAUUGUCUUCAUGGUUUGUGGCAGCCGUCUCUCUAGUCUGCUCUCUCUGUUUCAGAGUUGCCCCAAAACCCUACACAUAUUUUCUUAAAAAACCCUAGAAUUAUCAUGGCUGACUGGAGAUGACCAGGCCCUGUUUGGUGAUGGUUUAGAUUCAACCCAAGCCAAUCCAAGCCCAGCCCACAUUUGCUGCCUUUCAUUAUUGAUUUUAAAACUUUUUUUUUUUUAGUUUAAUUUUUUUUUAUCAUGUCGUCUGUGUUUUCUUUUUAGAAUUUUAAUACAUCGAUUUUUUUAACACAUUAAUCACGACUAAUUCAUGAAACUUUUUCAUAAGGAAAUUUAGAUAACGGCACUAAUUUAGUUUUGUUAUCCUUUUAUAAUUUUAUUUAUAUUAUUUGAGGUAUUGGUGAAGAUUAAAUAGAUGAAACCUAGAGAUAUUAUUGAGAAUUUAUUACAAUAUUUGUGAGAUAAAUGUCUUGGCUACAAAGGUUUUGGAGGAGUUAUUAUGUUGGGGCGUGAUAAAGUUUUCAGAAUAUUAUGGUUUUCUGAAAAUUUCCAAAUAUAAAAAUGAUGAGAAGUUUUUAUAUUUAUUCAAGACAAAUAAAAAGGGUACAAAGAAAAGAAAAUGUCAAGUUCCUUUAAGUUUAAAGAAAAUGCGGUUAGAUGUGGUUGGUUAGAUUUAGAUAUGAGUUUGUUAAAAAUUAUAAUUGAAAUUUAUGUAUAAUAAAAAACAUGUAUAAAAUGUUUGAUGAAGUGUGGUUGCGGUUGUUUUUCAAAGUGUUUUUUACUUUGAAAUGCUUCAAAAUAAUUAUUUUUACUUUUUAAAAAUUAUUUUUGAUAUCAGCGCAUCAAAAUGAUAUGAAAACACCAAAAAUAUAUCAAUUUUAAAAAAAAUAAAAUAAAAAUUAAUUUUUUUCAAAAGCGUUUUGAAACGCAAAAACAAACAGAAAUUUCACGAAACUCAGUUAAAAAAAGUAUGUAAAAACUGCGUUUCAAAGUUCAAACUCAAUCUUUUAGUGGGCCCCGUACUAUAAAACACAGUUUGGUUUGUUACCAAACACCUUACUGUGUUUGUUUCAACGCAAACGCAAAAGUUGGUGAAAAAUAAACACAGCUAUAGUUACAAACUCCAAUGAUAUUAGUUUUCUAUGUAGAGCUUGUUUGUUUUUUUAUUUCAAAUUUAAUUUUAAAAAAUAAUUAUUAUUAUAAUUCAAAACAUGCUUUUAAUCAUGUGGAAUUGGAGGAAGUGAAUCUAAAAAGAAUUGGUGAAUCAAAAUCUUAUAGCCCAAUCAUUUUAUUAUUGAUUUUGAUCUCACACUUUCUAUAGUAUAAAAUUAUAAAUUAAAAUAACCAUCUAGGUGGUGGUCCAGUGGUAAGAGUUUGGGACCAAGAGGUUUGCUCCCUUUGUGAUCUCAGGUUCGAGCCCAGUGGUUGCUCAUAUGAUGGCCACUGGAGGCUUACAUGGUUGUUAACUUUAGGGCCCGUGGGAUUAGUCGAGGUGCGCGCAAGCUGGCCCGGACACUCACGUUAAACUAAAAAAAAAACAUUAUAGAUCAAAACGUGUCGAUUUUGUUAAAUUUGUUUCUCUCUCUCAAGAGAAAAACAAUUUUUAUAAAGUAAUAUUCAAAGUAUUAAAAAUAUAUUCUCAUGCUUGACAUAUUAACUCAUUAUCAAAUCAUAGCUUAUCAAUUGUAAUCAAUGUUAGACUAUGUAGUAUAUUCCCUAACAUGACACUGAAGAACAAUUUUAACGCAGAAAAUUACAUGUGAAGUGGAGGAAAAUUAACUAAGAUUUGACACUAAAAAAGAAUUAUGCAUUUUAGGUCUAUAUGCAUAAAUCAGUUUAUUUUCAAUAAAAAGAAUUAUCAAAAUUGUCUUUUACGUAGAUUACAGUUUAUUUUGGUUUCUUGGAUUUAUGCAUAAAUCACAAAACAAAGUAAAUACAAUCCUUUAUCAGCCUGACAUGUGUGGAUGGUAAGGAGAAAAAAGAGAGAGAGUAAGAUUCACCGCUCAUUUAGUCAUAUAAGUGGGAUAAUAUGUAAUUUUAAAUUGUUUUGAUAUAUUAAUAUUAAAAAUAAUUUUAAAAAAAUAAUAUUAUUUUAAUACAUUUUAAAAUUUAAUCGUUAUUGUAAUCAUAAGCGCUAGCAAAGUUAACAUGACACUGCCUAAUUACUCGUUCUUUUAUAAAAAAACUAAAUGGUGUGUAGUUUUCAUUAUUCACCCUUACAAUAUUUAUGAAGACACAAAACACUGUGGAUUGAAGCAGUGUAAUAAAAUGAUUGUCCUUGCCAAAAACACUUGUUAGGGAUGCAGUUGGGUGCGGGGUUGUAUUUUCCAUGUGAUACAUUUGACAUUAAAAUUAUUAUUGUUGUUGUUUUUUAUUUUUAUUAUUGUUAUUAUUAUUAAAAUUAUUCAAGUAAACUUGGGUCAGAUAUGUUUGUCAGAUCCAGGCAACAUGGAUCAAAACAUUAUUUAUAAACAAAGUAUAAAUAAUUUGUAAACAACAAACUAUCAUAAAAAUUUAAUUUAACGUUUUAAAUCUAAAAAUUCAAAUAAUAUCUUUCCAUUGAAAUAGUUCAUUUUUUAUGUUUAUAAAUUUGUUAUCCCUUCAAUAAAAAUUUUAUCUUAUGAUUGUUACCGGUGUAGUUUUUUUUUUCAAAGGUAAUUUUUAUUUAAAAAUAUAUUAAAAUCAUAUUUUUUUAUUUUUAAAUUUAUUUUUAAUAUUAAUACAUUAAAAUUUUUUGAAAAUUAUAAUUUGAAGCAAAGACAAAAAAUAAUUUAUAAACUAUCAUAAUUAACAUAAUCAAGGAACUAACACAACUUGAUGUUGCAACGAAGUUGUGCUACUGGGUUGUCUGUUAUAGGACGUCAGACUCAACAAAUUUGGGUCUAGAAUGAACACCGGACCUAACACUCUUGGGUCUAGCAGCGCAGCCACAUCCAAGAUAGUUGGGUCUUGCUGGGUUGUCAAAUCAAAGAGCUGCGGUUACGGACUCGUAGACCUAAGAGUCUUGGGUUCUAAUACUGGACCCCAUAGCCUUGGGUCUUGACAUCAGAUCCAAAAGCCUUAGGUUGAUAUGCAAGGUCAUACCAAAGAGCCUUGGGCUGGCUACAACGCCGAACUCCACAGCCUAGCCUUGAAUUUGGCGUCUCGACCCAAGGCUCUUCGGUUUGACGUUUAAGAGAGACUCGAAGCUCACCCUGACAUUUCAGUCAGACCCACUUAAACUUGGGUCAACAAGUUUAAUAUUAUUAUUAAUAUUAAAAAUAUUAUUAUUUGUAUUAUAAUUAAUAUAAUAAUUAAUGAAAUUAAAAAAAAUAUUAAUAUUGAAAAACAACCAUAGAUAUUAUUUAAAGGGUAAAAUUAAAAAUUAUUAUUAUUAUCAUUAAUAAAUUUGAAAAAAAAUAUUAUUACUAUCGAAGAAAAACCAUAAAUUUGAUUUCAAAUGAUUAAAAACUAUAAGAACUCGGGUCAUGUGAGUUUUUUUAUUAUUAUUGUUGUUGUUGUAUUUGAAAAAAAAAUAUUAUCACUAUCAGAGAAAAAUCAUAAAGUUCAUUUAAAGGAAUUAAAAACUAUAAAAAGUUUGGUCAAACGAGUUUAAUAUUAUUAUUAAUAUUAUAAAUAUUAUUAAAUUUGAAAUAAGUAUUAUUACUAUUGAAAAAAACAUCGAUUUGAUUUAAAGAGUAAAAUCAAUUAUUAUUAUUAUUAUUAUUAUUAUUAUUAUUGUUGUUAUUGUUAUUGUUGUUAUCAUUAUUAACUUGGGUCUUUCGCGUCUUUCGCGUCUUCUUCCAAACCCCGGUAACUUUUGGUUGGAAAGGGGUGUCUGACCUAAGUUGCUCCUAUUAUUAUUGUUGCUAAAUUUGAAAAAAAAUAUUAUUACUAUCGAAGAAAAACUAUAAAUAUUUGAAGGGAUUAAAAAUUAUAAAAACUUGGGCCAUACAAAUUUAACAUUAUUAUUAAUAUUGCAAAUAUUGUUAAAUUUGAAAUAAGUAUUAUUACUAUCGAAAAAAAAAAUUUGAUUUGAAGGGUGAAAUCAAUUGUUAUUGUUAUUAUUGUUAUUACUAUUAUUAACUUGGGUCUGGCAUUCCUUUCCAGACUCCAGUAACUUUGUUAUUAUGAUUAUUUGUAUUAUAUUUAAUAUUAUUAACGUAAUAAUUAAUAAAUUUGAAAAAAGAAUUUGAGUCAGAUAAAUUUAAUAUUAUUACUAUCGAAAAAAACAUUGAUUUGAUUUGAAGGGUAAAAUCAUUUAUUGUUGUUGUUAUUAUUAAUUUGGGUCUGGCAUCCUCUUCCAGAUCCAAGUCACUUAGGUCUUACAGUCCCGCCUAACCGAAGGCUUUUGGGUCUAGUGUUCGACCCAAGGCUCUUGGGGUCGUCGUUAGGACCCAAGACUCUAGGAUCAGGCAUCCGGACUCAAGACUCUUCGAUUUGGCAUCCGGACUCAGGCCUCAUGGGUCCAGCGUUGCAGUCAGACUUAAGGCUUUUGAGUCUGGCGUUUAAGGGGGUCCUAAAGCUCUUGGGUCUGGUGUUGGAGCGAAACUCAAACGCUCUUGGUUCAACAGUUUAAUAUUAUUAUUAAUAUUAAAAAUAUUAUUAUUUUUUUUUAUAAUUAAUAAAUUUGAAAAAAAUAUUUUUUCAUAUUGAAAACAACCAUAUAAUGCUACUGCUUCAUGCUUCUCGUUAGGCUUUUGCGUUCAUUUUUUUUAAUUUAAUUUUCUUUUUUUAAUGUAUAUUAACUUAAUUAUUGGAAUGCUUUUAAUUGAAUAUGAGAGUUGUUAACGACAACAAUAUAUCAUCAUCAGUGUCGCCGUCGCAACCGCCGAUAAUCCGAACCUGGAGAACAACAUUUCUCACUCUAAUUUCUCACUCUAAUGCCGCGUUUAUUUGCUGAAAAGUAGUUUUCUUUUGGAAAGUGAAUUCCGGGAAAGUUAAUGUUUCAUUUUUCUCAAGUUUAUUAAAAUAAUGAGGAACAAAUCUUACAAAUUAAAAAGUUGAAUGAGAAUGAAAUUGAAAAAAAAAAUAUAAUUUCAUAAAUUAUCUUAAAUAAAAUAAAUAAUAAUUAAAAUAAUAGAGAUCAAAUCUAAAAAAUAAAAAAAUGAAAGAUGAAGAAAUUAAAAUAAUAAUAAUUAACAUUUCAUAAAUUAUUUUAAAUAAAAUAAGUAACAAUCAAAAGAAUGAGAAUCAAAUUUGAUAGAUAAAAAACUCAAUAAAAAAAUGAUAAGGGAAAAAUAAAUAACAAUUAUAAAAAUAGAACCAAAGUUAAUAUAAAAAUUAAAUUUUAAGAGAUGAAAUUGAAAAAUAGAUAUUCAAAACAAAAUAUAUAUAGCAAUCAAAAUAUAUAUAGCAAUCAAAAGUUUGAUAAUCAAAUUUGAUAUAAUCAGCAAAUAAUAUGACAUUUCUAAUUUUUUCACAACUUCUUAAAAGUGUUUUCCGCCCAAAUUUUUUAGGAAAAUACUUUCCUGGAAACCAAACUAAAUUUUUCUUUGACUGAAAAUUGUUUUCCGUUUACCAACUUUUCUAAUGACAAACAAACAUAGAAAAAUAAUUUUCCAGAAACCACUUUUCAAAAACAAACAUAACCUAAGAGAAAAAACCCUAACAACUGAUUUACUCCUUAAUUACCCUCGCAUUUACUCACUAAUCAUUUUGUUUUAUCAAAUUACCUUUGAUUUGAUAUUCUAACUGGAAUUGGCGGCAAAUUCAUCACAAGAUUUCACUUCAGUGUAACCUAACAUUUCACAUUUGGUAAAAAUAAUUUAAAUUUUUAAUUUUUGUUAGUGUUAGUGAGUUUUUUAACUGAAUUUGAAUUUUUAAAUUAGGUUUAUGAUGUACGCCAAAGGCAACGCGUUUCGCUGCAAUUAAAUUCAAAUUCUUGGAGUGUUGCACUUGAUUCGCAUGCGAAAAUGCUGCAAUUCUUUUUCGGAAAAGCUGCUCUCGAAUGUAUAGAGACUGUAAGACAUUUUUGUGCUCCAAGGGCAUAACAAGAAAAUACAAAAGCAAUCCCAUCACAUAACAAAACUUCUAAAAACAGAAACUCUAGCAAGUAUCCAACAGAUGUUAUACUUGAAUUUUUUUUGAAAACCCAAAUAUUGAAAAAAGAAGCUUGAACGGAACUCCCACCAUGUAGAUGCAACUGGAAUCGCUCCCCUCAUUCUUCCUCAACCACAGUGCCCUUCUCACUUACGUAGAUACCAUCAAGAAAUUUUCGGAUAUCCUUGUUCUUGACAUGACAUUUCUGUACAAAAGAGAGCACGUAAGAGCAUGAAAGCAAUCCAGUGACUUGGGAUGCAUCUUUCUCAUCCACAGGAACAACAACUCUACAUUGCGCAAGAAAGAAUACUACAAUGUGCUUAAUGCUCAUGAGUACAUAUUCUAGUAUGUACAGAAAUGCUAGCACACAUUCACACACGAAAAGAGAGAGAGAAAGAGACCUGGUUGAUCAAAGCUGCCGACCGUGAAACAAGCUCAAUAUCAUUGCCAUCUAGGACGAGCUCAUCCUUCACCUUUUCAGAUCGGAGAAUACUAACCCCAUCAAGCAUAUCAACCUUCCUAACCUGUAGAAAACAACCACAACAACAUCAGAACAUGUCCGCAGAGCAGCCAAUCUACACCACAAAGUCUGCAUUUUGUCACGGUAUUUCAAAGACUGCAAUUCAACAAUAACUAAUCCAUGAAACAGAAACUUAAUCCCAGAAGCCAUAAUCAAAACAAUCUUCAUUGCAAAUAAUUAGAAUACAGCUAUCAGUAACAACUAAUUAUUCCAUACCACCAAUCUACAAUAACUUGUAUCCAUGAAACAGAAACUUAAUCCCCGAUUCCAUAAUCAAAACAAUCUUCAUUUCAAAUAAUUAGAAUACAGCUAUCAGUAACAACCAAUUAUUCCAUACCACCAAUCUACAAUAACUUGUAUCCAUGAAACAGAAACUUAAUCCCCGAUUCCAUAAUCAAAACAAUCUUCAUUUCAAAUAAUUAGAAUACAGCUAUCAGUAACAACCAAUUAUUCCAUACCACCAAUCUAGAAUAACUUGUAUCCAUGAAACAGAAACUUAAUCCCCGAUUCCAUAAUCAAAACAAUCUUCAUUUCAACCCAAUCCUUUGGGCCCUGGAAUCCAAGCUUACUGUAUUAUAAGACUCAAAUAUUCUACUAACUCACCAAUUACAGAUAUUUAUUUCAUGAUGCAGGAACCCAAAUCUAAAACUUAUUCACAUAUUAACUUUCUCGCAACUCUAAGAUUUCUAGCAACAAAGUCUAACAAAAAAAUGAAAAACCCUUGACCUCAUUUCUUAUAGCAUCACACCGGGAAUACCAGACGAGACAGAAAAAAACAAAACUUGGGAAUAAAUUCUUACCUUCUUCUCGCCGAGAAAGUUCCGGAUCUCGAUAGCAGUGUUGCUGUUAGUGAUGGAAGCGUUGAUGGGAAAGUGAGCAUACACAAACCUCAUCUUGUAUCUGUACCCCUUGGUAACCCCAGUAAUCAAGUUCUCCACGUGGCUCAGGGCAGUCCUGAUAGCAGCACUGGUCUUUCUUGUUGCAAACCAGGCAUCGAUCUUCAGCUUUCUCUUCCCUUCCUCGUCUUUGAUCAGCUGAAAAUCAAGAUUCAAAUGCUUGAAGUUCCUGCUCAGCUUGCCUCUUGGGCCUUCCACUUCUAUGAUUCUAGCACUGAUCUUGAUUUUCACCCCGUCGGGGAUGUCCAUGGUCUCGGACGACAGAAUUGUCUUCAUGGUUUGUGGCAGCCGUCUCUCUAGUCUGCUCUCUGUGUUUCAGGGUUGCCCCAAAACCCUAGACAUAUUUUCUUUAUAAACCCUAUAAUUAUUAAGGCUGUGUGGAGAUGACCAGGCCUGUUUGGUGAUGGUUUAGAUCCAACCCAAGGCCGUACAAGCCCGGCUCACAUUUACUGCCUUUCAUUAUUGAUAUUCAAACAUUUUUUAUUUAGUUUAAUUUAUUUGUUCAUGUCGUUGAUGUUCUCUUUUUAGAAUUUUAACAUAUAGAUUGCUUUUUUUAUUAUUAUUAAUAAAAAUAAUAAAAACAUUGAUUAUUUUAGCUGGCAUGUAAUUCGACUAAUCUCACAAGCCCUUAAAUAAAUGACCAUAUAAGUCUUCAGUGAUCUUAAAAUUUAUAGGACUCGAGCUAGUAAUCUUUAGAAAGUAAAUUUAAAAUUUAAUCAGACAAGUUACCCCUUUUAUAAUUAUAUUGACUAUUUUUUUCAUUUUGAUGUGAUAAUGAUGCAACUCGUGAUAAAAAACAUUAAUCACGACUUAUUCAUGAAACUUUUGCAUAAGAAAAAUUAGAUAUCAAUACUAAUUUAGUUUUGUUAUCCUUUUAUAAUUUUAUUUAUGUUGUUUGAGGUAUUGGUGAAAAUUAAAUAUAUAAAACUCCAGAAUAUUUUUGAGAAUUUAUGAUAACCUUCAUAAAAUAAUUGUCUUCACUACAAAGGUUUUAGAGGAGCUAUCAUGUUAAUACAUUAUAAAGUUUUAAAAAUAGCAUGGUUUAUAAAAACACACAUGUCUGGUCUGACAGACUAUGCAUAUAUUUAUAAUUAUAUAUAUAAAUUAAAUAAAUGACAUAUCAUUUGUAUAUAUUUUUAAAUUAUAAGUGACUAUAUAUUUUCUGUUUAUCCAGUGAUGCGAUGUCACUUGGUUCAAUUUUAAGCUAUCAAACUUGUCUUAGAUGAUAAAAAAUCAAGAUUUAAUAUUUUUGAUAAAAAAACUAAAUGCUAUCUAUUUUCACCCCCAAAACAUGUGUGUGGACCUAUAAAACCUAAUUUGUAAAAAAAAAAAUUUAUUAAUUUAAAGUAAAAAAAUAUUUUUGAUAUCAGCAUAUCAAAAUGAUCUAAAAACACCAAAAAAUAUUAAUUUAAAGUAAAAAAAUAAAUAAAUUAAUUUUUUUUAAAAAACACAUUUUAAACGCAAAAAUAAACGAAAUCUUAAUUCUCCCGAGAAAAUUCAUUUGCAUUUGAAGUUCUCGUGAGUUUAUAGUUUUUUUUUUAAAAAACUAAAUAUCUUUUAUUAUUGUAACAAAAUUAAUAAAUCACAAGUUUGAUAUUCAAUUGAUAAUCAAAUAAUAAAUUGGAGGCUAAUUAAUUUUAGGAGUGCGGUUUAUCGAAAUCUUGUUAUAACUAUUUUUUUUAAAUAUCUAAAUAUUUAAUUUUAUUGAGCUAAACUUAAAUGUAAUUUUUAAAAAUAAAAUAAAAAUAAUUUUCAUAUAUUUUAUAAACAAAAAUAUUUUGAAAAACAAUCUCAUUUCCAAACAACCUUAAAUUAAGAUUAUCUUUAAUCUUAAAAUCAAUAUUUGUUUUAUAUUUUACUUUUCAAUUUUAAAUAUGAUUUCUAAUUAAUUUUCAAGAAAUCAAAUUUUUAAUCAUAUUUGCUGUAAUAGAGUGCCACCUCAAUUCACAAGUUCUAAAACACUAGCACUCAUUUAAAUUAAAUCAUCACAAGAAAUGCUAUAAACACUCCCAGCUCCUCUUCCCCGCCCACAAAUCAUUUCUGCUUUUAUGGCGACACCAUCGUCGGCGCCGCCGCCGCAACCGCCGAUAAUCCGAACCUGGAGAACAGCAUUUCUCACUCUAAGAGACGAAACCCUAACAACUCGAAGUCCAAAAUCAGAAUCAAAAUCACUUCCACAACUCCUUCACGAUUUAGUCUUCUCCUCUCCCACUCUUCUCCCCGCCGCCUCCGAUCUCCCUUCUCACGAAGUAACUUAUCAAUCUCAAUCCUCACUAAUCAACUGAUUUACUCCUAAAUUACUCUUGCAUUAACUUACUAAUCAUUUUGUUUGAUCAGAUUACCUCUGAUUUGAUAUUUUUACUGGAAUUGGUGGCAAAUUCAUCACAAGAUUUCACUUCAGUGUACCCUCACAUUUCACAUUUGGUAAAAAUAAUUUAAAUUUUUAAUUUUUGUUAGUGUUAGUGAGUUUUUUUUUACUGAAUUUGAAUCUUGUAAAUUAGGUUUAUGAUGUAUGCCAAAGGCAACGCGUUUCGCUGCAAUUAAAUUCUAAUUCAUGGAGUGUUGCACUUGAUUCGUAUGCGAAAAUGCUGCAAUUCUUUUUCGGAAAAGCUGGUACUGCUAAUGUUAGUCUUGCUGUCGAAUGUAUAGAGACUGUAAGGUUAGUUUUUCAUUUGGUGAUUGCUAAAUUUUUAUAUGUUUUUCAUUUAUUUAUUUAUUUUUAUUUUUUUUUAAAAUUUGUAGGUAUUUUGUGAGUGAAUAUCAGCAAAAAUGUUUGCUAUCGGAUAAUGUUCAGUUAGUGAAAUUCCUUCUCCGAAUUGUUGACUGCUCUCAUGCACAGUUAGUUAGCUCGUCGUACAGUAGUGGGAACCAAAGGUCUGCUGGGGCUACUGGAAAGGGAGUGUCUAAGUAUAGUAGUUUAUGGGAGGUUUAUACUGUUAUGUUUACUAUGCUUGGUGAAGUGUUUGAAAAAGUGGGGUCUUCUCUUUCUGCUGAUGUUUGGCAAUCUACGAUUGAGGUAGGUGUAUUCCUAUGCCUUGUUGAUUGUCUGUGUACAAAUGAGUGUCUUAAGUUUUGUGGUUGUUGAUUAGGUGCUUAGGAAAGUGAUGGAUGCCUUAGCAAUCAACAACUCGCUUUCUGAAGAUAUUGUUAUGUCCAGGUACCAUGAUCAUCACCCUUUAACCUCAAACAACGUAUCUGAACAAUCAACAGGAGAGCUUGUUUUUGUGCCUUUAUGUGAAUUUUUAAUGUUUGACCUUAGCAUGGUAACAACUCUUCUCUGCAGGUUUUAUUCUUCUCUUCUUCAUUGUCUACAUCUGGUUCUUGUGGAUCCUAAAGGUUCUCUUCAUGAUCAUGUAAGUUAAUCCAUAUACUCUUAGGGUGUACAGAUCCAGUUGUUCGUCUUUCUAUGCUCCAGUUGUUUUUAUAUGUUACAAAUUGGUUUUUGUUUUCUUUUUUUACAGGUUUCUGGUUUUGUCGCAACAUUACGAUUGUUCUUGAUUUAUGGCAUUAACAGUAGACAACAGUUUACAGCCUCACCGACUGUUAACAAGGAGAAGGAACUUAGUUUAGCGAGUCUUAAGUUGAAUUCUAAAGAACCUAUACGAAAAGAUAAUACUCCAUAUAGGCCUCCACACUUGCGCAAAAAAGAUAGCGUGUAUAUGAAACAGCCCAAAGCUCAGGAUUCUUUGUGUUUAUCUGAUCAUGAAUCUUGUGCAACCGAUUUCAUGUCAUCAGAUUCAGAUUGCAGUGAUAGUGAUGUAUCAGGGAAAGAUACUGAUGGUAUUCAAAGCUCAAAGGUUCGAGUUGCUGCCAUUGAAUGCAUACAGGUAAACAUUAUAAAGUUAUUCUUUUUAGCAUUGAAAGUUUUCACAGCCAUCUGUUUAUCAAUCCGUGCGUCAGCAUUACUGUAAUAUAGUCUUGUGAGCUCGGUGAUGCUCUUUUUUCUCAUAGAAAGACAGUUUAAAUUUACUUAAUGAUUUACCUAGCUGUAUUUGAUGUGAUCUUUUUGUUGGGGUGCCCAUGUUUAUUAGUCUCAUUUCAUUUCAGUUGCUGUAGAUCACUUCCAAUAUGUUAAUGAAAUUGUUGUAGCUGUUUACAACUAUCAUCGCUGAACAAUUAUUUGCAAUUCCAGUCAUAACUUUGAUGCAAUUUGACCUUUUUAUUUUGUGGAUAAGGAUCUUUGUCAAGCUGAUCCCAAGUCAUUUACUGCCCAAUGGACAAUGCUUUUGCCUACCAAUGAUGUACUGCAACAGAGGUCAAGCUUUUUCCUGUUUUCACAACAAAUUUGUGUUGUUGCUGUAUUGUUUAUCUUUUGUUUCUUUUUUGAAGUUUUCUGUCUGAUUACUUCAUGUGAUUUCUUUAUUUGCAGGAAGUUUGAAGCAACUCUAAUGACGUGUUUGCUAUUUGACCCUUAUUUAAAGGUACUGUUUAAUGUCAAUUUCUGAUGGCCAUACACUUGUUUUUCUUUUCUUUUGUUUUUUUCUGGUGGGGGGAUGAGGAUAAAAAUGAGAGAUGGUGAUGGAAAGAGUAUGCAAGUAAGGUCAUUUAUUCUGUUUUCUUUGAACAAAAUGGGGAGGGAAGAGGGAAAAAAAAGUGCUCCCAUGCCCUCAAGAUUCCAGCAAGAUGGAGAAUAGUGUAUCUACAUUCCCAUUCUCACUUACUAUCGUUAUUGAUGUCCUGUAGACCCACAUUGUCAAUCGGAAGUUACAUCACAAGGUUAGAGUAAUCUACUUAGCAUGCUAUUUCCUUCCUCUCCACCCAUUAACAAAAAGAAGAGGAAAAUUGGAUUCUCGUCCUUUCCUCUCUUUGCUGACCAGGCAUGCAGGAGGAAAAUAAGUUACCUUCAUUCCCCAAAUCCUUUCUUCCCUUCCCUUCCCUUUUCCUUCCCAUUUUCCCCAACCUGAAGAGCAUUAGUGUCUGUUCUUUUUCUUUUUUCGGCACUUUAUCUGUGAUGUUUGAAAUUAUCUGCAGAGCAAUUUUCAGAUUUUGACUACAUUGUGUUACAUUGUGUUCUUCCUUGACACUCCUCACUCAUUUCUUUUGUUUUGUGGUGACUAGGUUCGGAUUGCAUCUGCGUCGACCGUGGUAGUUAUGCUGGAUGGGCCUUCAUCUGUUUUUCUGCAGGUGGCAGAGUACAAAGAAUCUACUAAAUGGGGAUCUUUUAUGGCCUUAUCAAGUUCCCUUGGACGGAUACUGAUGCAACUUCACACUGGUAGUAGAGAGGCAGUGUGCCAUGCAGUUUAGUACUUUUGGUGUAAAUGUGCUUCACUGUUGUUAUUUCCUGAUGUUUCUGGUUUACUGCUCACAUGGCCUAGUAAUAAGCAUGCUCCUUUGUGUCUGGUGUAGGUAUUCUGCACUUAAUCCAGCGUGAAACUCAUAGUCGACUACUAGCAUCCGUGUUCAAGAUUCUAAUGCUUCUUAUAUCAUCUACACCGUAUGAAUCUUCCAUCUAAAAACUAUCUCGCAGUCAUUACAGUUUUGAGUUUUCCUAUCUGAUACACUAUCAGUGUUUCUUGUAAUCUUCAUGCUCACUUUAUAGGUUAUUCAAGCCUGAUAUCUGCUUUGUCAGUUCACUGUACCCAAAAGUGAAUCUGUUUGUUGUUAAAAUUGUAAUUUACUCUAUUCUUACACAUGGAGUGAAGAAUUAUGGAUUGUUCAGUUCUAAUGUAGGAUAUUUUUUUGCAUGUUUGCAUUUUGCUCUUACAUUACUUAUUAUUCUUCCCCCCCCCCCCCUCCCUUUUUUUUCCUGGGUGAUCAUCCUACAGAUAUUCUAGAAUGCCCAAAGAGUUGUUACCUAGAGCAAUUGCUUCUCUCUUGGAAAAGGCUGAGAAUGGGUUCCCUUUCAAAAGCAAUCAAACUGGCCUGCUGGUGAGUUCUACUUAUGCAGUAUAAGUGGAAAUAAUUGUGUCAUCCUUUAGCGUUUUUUCCAUUUUUUUGGUCCUUUUGUCCUUUCUGGGGUGUGGGGUAGGGUGCUUCAAAUGACAUUUGAAAUUAACUUCUGUGUCAUACUUUAAAAUCUUUUGCUAGGCUAGCACUAUUAGCUGCUUGACUGCAGCUUUUUCAACCUCACCAUCAUCACCACAGGUCAAACAAAUGCUUUUAGAAGAAAUUUCCACAGGUUAGGUUUUUUUUUUAUUUGUUUAUAAAAAUUGAGUUUUUUCCAUUCACAACCUGCUUGAUACAUGUCAGACAUCCCUAUCUUCUUAAUUGUUAGUGUUACUGGUGAUAGACCAGUUGAUAUCUCUGUUAUUGGGUUGAUGCUUUCUGUUUUGUGCAUAUAGUCUUGUUUGGUUGGAAUACUUCCAUUUAUAUUGUCAUUUUUUUCAUUUUCGCACUUUAGUCUAAUAUGACCUUGUAAUCUAUUUGAAGCCUUCUUCCAGGUGCAGUUGAGGCUGAGAAGAGGUCUGGUGUUAUUUUCACUAUAUUUAGGCUUUCUGAGCAAUUAACCAAUCCAACAAUAUGCUUCGAGACCCUCCAGGUAAUAUUAUUGAUGCAGACAACAAAGAAAGCAAAACUUAUGUCUUUUUAUAGACAAGGGUAUUUUCCUAUUCUACACAGACUUGGUUUUCUUAUUUAGGAAUCUAAGUUCUUGUUGGAUUCAGACUACUCAAACUCUAUAAGAAGUAUGUAGUCUUUCAAUAUUAUGAAUAACAAUUUAUGAAUAAAUUCCUGCAAUUUGCAAUUGAUUGUGUGACUCAAUCACCCUUAGGUGCCACUCCUAAGAACUCUUGAUGUGAAUCUUAGGUUUUUCUAUCCUCUAUGUGUGACCCUAGAAACCGUAUUAGUGUGACUAAUAGUUUCUACAAUUUCUACAGAAAACCACUUCAAUACAACCCUAAACAGCCUCCAAAGUCAGAUCCAGAACAGCCCCCAAAGCUGUCCUGCACCAAUUAUUUAAACUUGUUCAAUACUUUUUAGUAUAUUUAUAAGAAACAAAGGUUUUAAACUUAGAUUUAUGCCGGCCUCAGAUGUAAUUAGUCAAAGGAAAGCACAUAUUCACAAGAUGAGCAAGAAUUAUUUGCUAGUAAACUUGCUAAAAUCCUCUAGUCCAAACUCUAUAAUCUGGUCCUUUGGAGAAAGUGAAAGAAAUCUGCUUUCUAACAUAUAGACCCAUUCGAACUAUUAAGUUGGUAAUGAAAUUUAAGGAUUUUUAAAAAGAAACUGAAACACCGUUCCCAUUUCUAGUUGCCAUAAACAAAUGCAAGAACCAUUGCCUGUAUUAUAAUCAACUAAUGGAGAAAAAUAUGGAAAACUUUGAAAUGAGUUUCAUGAACUUGCACGAGGAAAUUGGCUUCAAUCAAAGGUAAUACUAACUCCAACCUUAGCAUCCCUUCCCUUCACCUUAUGCCAGUGAUUGGGACUUAAAGUGAAAAGGGCAUAGACAAUUAUUAUUCAUUAAGACUUUGGUAAACUUGUAUGCAAUCUCUAGGUGGUGAGUUUUGCUUACAGCUUUGCUAGAAAGGUCAAAGCUCAGAGGAUUGUCUUUAAUUUUUUUCUGCUCUUAUUUUAAUGUUGUGUUGUUACUUAAAAAGAACCACUUGUGCACUGUUUGUUCCAGACUCUUAGAGCUGUGCUACACAGUUACCCCAACAUAGCAUCUGCUUGUUGGGAACGUGUUUCCAUCAUAGUCUCCAAAAUUUCGAGGGCAGCUUCUCUAGAAGCUCCUAUGAGGACGUGGAAGGGACAUGCAGGAGAUACUGUUGGCUUUAUCGGGGAAAAGAUUGUAACAGCUGCUAUUAAGGUAAGAUAUUCUUUUGCUUGUUUUUAACCCGAACAAUUUCUUGUACUUGGGUCUGACAGUUUUGAUUUAGAUUAAGGUGAGAUUUGUAGUCAAUGGUUUGGAUUGUCCUAUAUAAUCCAACAGUAAAUCAGUAAGACUAGUUAUGCUUGCAGUUACUGGCUUGAAAUUAUAUAAAUGAAAAUUUCUGAUGGAAUAACUGCUUGUAUUUUUUCAAAAACCAUUUUUACAUUUCUUCAUGAAUUGCUAUUCUAUUUUUAAUAUCCGGUUCUAAUGUGGUAAUUCCUCCAUCUUUACUACCUUUAUUCUCUUCAUUUUCCCAUUAUAGGUUUUGGAUGAAUGUCUUCGUGCAAUAUCUGGAUUUAAAGGAACUGAAGAUAUUUUAGAUGAUAAGUUACUGGAUACUCCAUUUACAUCUGAUUUUGUGAGGAUGAAGAAAGUAUCAUCAGCGCCAUCAUAUGAACCUGAGAGUGCAGAAGAUACCAAAGAUGAACAAAAAACAUAUCAUUCAGGAAGCGAACAUUGGUCUGAGGCAAUAGAGAAGCAUAUACCCAUGACAUUACGGCAUACUUCUCCCAUGGUUUGUUGAAUGUUUUUCCUUUUUGGAACAAUUUACUUUCAUGAUAUGUGUGAUCUUUAGGAGAUAUUAGAUUUUUCCCUCUACAUGGUUAAAGUUUUUGUCUCUAGAUCUAAUACUUGUGCUGCAUUUGCUCGUGUUUUUUGGCAUGUGAAGUCAGCAUGUGUUUGCUCAUGCAAAAGGUUGGUGGUAUGGGACACUCCUGUAAUUGUUGUUAAUGUUAGAAAGUAAAGUGUGAAAUGCCUAAAUCAUGCUCAUCCAGGCUGUUCAGAAUCUAGAGUCUUGAUUUUUAUUUUAUUUUAUUUUAAAAAAAACCAGCACUGAUUAUUCUAAAAAAAUCAUGGCCAACGACUAGUCAUUUUAAUUAGGAACAUUCGUACAAACAGCAAAAAUUUGAGUGAGAUUUGAACACUCCAAUAGUAUUGGUAGCCAUGUGAGUUGUGACGUCCUAUGCUUUUCUAAGCAACUCAACAAACAUUAUUAAUUCAUUUCUUCAGCAACCUACCUGCUGGACCUUGCUGUUCUCAUUCGUAAUUCAGAGGUUCUGGAAGCUUUGAAGAAUACAAAUUUAUUAUAAUUGGACAACAUGAAAGAUCUAGAAUACACACAUGAAAGAAGUUUGAACACGUCAAAUAAUUUGUUUGAUAAAAAUGAUAAUAACUUUCAAUAUGCCAGUGAAUUGGUUUUUGGUAUCUAGUCAAGAUAAGGAAAGCGCUCAAAUUAGAUCUAAAAGAUGUUUUUUUUUUUUUUUUUAAUUUUUUAAUUUAGUAAUGAAUUUUGGCCUUUUGUUUUUCUAUAUACCUAGAAUUUUCUUAUUUAGCGAUGAGUUGGAAAAACAUGAAAUUCCUUGCGUGUUGGAGGAUGAAUUUUUUUUAUGCAUCUGCUUAAUUUUUAUUAACCUGCACAGCUAUAAUAAGUCCUUUAAGGGUCAUCCAUCUGAAAGUUAGGAAUCCUUCUUGCCUCAUGGGCUUGAAAAAAAACCCACUACACUAGACUUGGUGGAAUUGUUAGAUUGUAUUAGUAAUUUUUAAAAGGGACUGUUUAAGCCAUUGGUUUGAAGAUUCAACAUGUUGAUCAAUUGAAUGAAUUUAGCACAGUUGCAGUUAGCAUCCUUCUUGGCAGCCUUUGACAUCUUAUAACAAUUUCUGCUUAGAAAAUGUUAAGACUAGAUGAAACAUAGUUCUUCUAUUGCAUUUAUAACAAAACUAUACAGCUGCUGAAAAUUUGAUUUCUCUUCAUGCCUGCAUAUUGCUGAUUUUUUUUGGGAAUAUUUUUUUACCUCUGGUAGGUAAGAACUGCAGCAAUAACUUGUUUCGCGGGUAUUACCUCUUCUGUAUUCUUCUCCCUUGCAAAGGAGAAACAGGAGUUCAUUGUUUCUUCUUUGGUAAGUUCAUGUGCAACUUGAAACCAUUUUGCUUUCUGCACUGAACAAUUAUUUAUUAUUUAUUUUUCUUUUCAAGUUCAUAUAAUGCACCUUCAAAACUUUUGCAGAUCAAUGCUGUUAAUGAUGGGGUUCCUUCAGUCAGGUCAGCUGCUUGUCGAGGCGUUGGUGUAAUCUCUUGUUUUCUGCAAGUUCCACUGAGGUGAUUAUGGAAUAUUUCUGUAUGAUCUGAGUAACUCUUUGUUCCUAUGCAAGAUUGUGCAUACAAAAUUUAUGAACUUAAAUCAUUUAGUGCAGAGAUCCUUGACAAGUUUAUCCAUGCUGUUGAGAUCAACACUCGUGAUCCCUUGGUCUCGGUAUCUUAUCAUUCCUUUUCCAAUUUUAUUUUUGAAAUUUGUCUUAAGUAUGUAACCUUGAUGACUGUGCAUUACUAAUUUCUUUCAGGUGAGAAUAACUGCCUCAUGGGCUUUGGCAAACAUAUGUGAUUCCCUGCGUCACUGUAUUGAUGAAUUUCCCUUGAAAAAGUACACAGGUGCACUUGCAGGAUAUCAAAGUGGUAUUUUAAAUUUACUAUGUUGUAGAAUUCAUAUUGGUAUUGAUUUUAAUUAAUUCUUCUUUCUCCUGUUACAGGCUCAAACACAAACCCUCAAUUAGUGGCAUUUUUAACUGAGUGUGCUUUGCGGCUAACAGAUGAUGGAGACAAGGUAAAUGAAUUGAUUGCCAGAGUCAUUUUCAGUUUUUAUAAGUUUAUCAUUUUUACAUUCAUCCACAAUAUGUUUAUUGAUGGUAAAUACAUUUAUGCGGAAGGGGGAGCAGGCACAGUUCAUCAUUUGCUCGAAACAUCAAGGAAUGGAGUAACCAACAAAGUAUAACUAAUUUGUGUUCAUUUUUCACUUGCACCUUCAGUGCCAGCUAGGGGUUUCCAUAGACUGUUGCACAUGAAAAUAUAUGUGAUGAAUUAAACUUUCCGGAAAUAACCACCUUCAUUUGACUAAUAUAUGCCUGUUUCAAUAGUUUAGGGUUGAUAAUUUUUCUCUAGAACAUGAUAACACAGGCAUGUUUGUGCUCUUUGAUUUUAUUUAACAGCAAUUCCAUGCUCCUUAAGCUCUUCUAUUGCAUCUUAAAUUUUUGGAGCUUCCCCUGGUGCUUAGUUUGUAUAUUUUAACUGGGUUGGUGUUAAGGUUAAGUUCUUCUCAUAGCUUUCAGUAGACUGGUUUAUUCAUACUUUCAGAUAUUUAUUGAGACAUCUCUUUUACUCACCAUCAGAUCAAAUCAAAUGCUGUAAGAGCUCUUGGAAAUCUUUCUAGAUUUGUCAAGUGUACAAAUUCUUCUGGUGUGCAUGAUAAGCCUGUGGGUUAUCUGGACUCAUCAAGCGACAAAAUUGAGAUGUUAUCAGAGAGGAGUAGUCUUCAACAUGCAUCAAAUUAUCGCUAUCCAACUUCAUUGGGAGACUCACAUUUGCUGGAGAAAAUGGUUCAAGCAUUCCUUUCUUGUGUUACAACUGGGAAUGUUAAGGUAUCAUUCCCCAUUGCUCUGAUUUUAGGAUAAAACUGUCACUGGCCUUGCGUUGUGCUUGCAUUUAAAUUGAGUCUCAGUUCCACCAUGUUCUCUGCUUAACCUUGAAUAAUAUACAUUUAACAGGUCCAGUGGAAUGUUUGUCAUGCGUUGAGUAACCUCUUUUUAAACGAGACACUAAGACUGCAAGAUAUGGAUUGGUAAGUGAUACUAAAGCAGUGCUGUCUUUCACAAUUUACUUGUAGUCACUAGAUCGACAUUACCCAAUAGGGACCUUUUACAUGCUAUAUUUAUCAUGUUUCCCUGCUCAUCUGUUUGCAUGCUAUUACCUGGACUGUCUUCCAUAAAAGUGCCUCAUAUUUUAUGUUUUUACUCGUUUGCAUGCCUUGGAUUGGUGUUGCAAAUUAUUUGACAUGUUGAUGUGCCAUGGAAAACUGUAAGCUUCAUAGUGAUAAAUGAGUCAAGUAUGUAUACCUAUCUUCUACCUGCUUGGCAUGAAGGUGCUCUAUUUAAAUUACAUACCGUUUUCAAAUUUAUGCUCGUAACCCAAAUUUGUAAUAUAAUUACGCUUGUGUACAUUUUGGCAGGGCUCCAUCUGUUUUUAGUGUUCUCCUGCUACUACUACGGGAUUCUUCUAACUUUAAAAUCAGGAUACAAGCUGCUGCUGCUCUGGCUGUCCCAGCCUCAGCAUUUGGUUAGUAGGAGGGCUGAGCCCACUUUCAUCUGUCAUGGUUAAGAUUAUGUUGUUUGCCUUACAGAACGUUGAAUUAUUAUGAAAUAUCAUGUACAGUUUUGAGCUAUCAGCCUACAGCAAGCUUCCACCCAAAUUUAAUUAUGAUCUGUAGUCCAGUUGUUGAAUUUCUCUCCAGUGCAUUCAUUCAGAAAAUGUAGCUAGCUAUAAUCCGAAGUUGAACUGUAAAUUUCCCUUAUUCUCUGACUGUUUAUUUCGUGCAGAUUAUGGGAACUCCUUUUCGGAUGUUGUGCAAGGACUGGAACAUAUUCUUGAGAAUCUAGGUUCAGACCAGAUUUCAGCACCAUCAAAUUUUAAAUAUAGGGUUGCCCUUGAGAAGCAGGUCAACCCCCCUUGUCAUUUAUUUUCAUUUGAAAACAUUUUGAAUUAUAGGGGAACUGAUUUCCAUCAGAACUUUCUUUGCCAUGUUAUGUAUGUCAUGCUGAUGACAGCCUCUCAAGCAAACCUUCUGUAAUAGAGUAUUUCAUUUUGCAUCGGAGCUAGAGGGUGAUAUGCUUGGCUUAACCUAGUAUUUUUCUUUCCAAAUUUGUUUCACAUGAUCCCUUUCUUGGUCACAGGUAACAGCAACCAUGUUGCAUGUCCUUGGUCUCGCUUCAAGCACUGAUCACCAACCUCUGAAAGAUUUCCUUGUGAAAGUAAGCAUCUCUCAUUGCUCGUACAAUGUUGUGAAAGUAGGAGUUUAAUAUUCACUAACACCGUGGGAAAACAGCAUAUAAACUUCUCUUGCCAAGAAAGUAUGUUUCCAUAAAUCAGUAUCAGAACUAGACCCUGUAAGAAUGGAAUGAAAGGAAACUGAAAAGUGGGAGCUCCCAUGCAUACACGAGUGCAUCAGUGUUGUUUCCCUUGCCUUUCCAUAUUUUCUUCCCAAUCAAUUUUAUCGCUCCCAACAUAUGCAUCUGAUGAACAAAUGUGAGGACCUUUCAUUGUAUCAUAUUCAUGGCAUUUUUUCAGUUUAUUUAUGGAACUCUUCAGAGAUUUACAUUCAUCCUCGUCUGUUUCACACAGAAAGCCCCAUUUUUGGAGGAGUGGUUUAAGGGCCUGUGCUCCUCAUUAUGGGAGACAGGCUCACAGUCUGAGGCUGGAAGCUCCAUUGGGGACCAAAAGAAACAUAUGAUAUCCAAGGCAAUACAAUCCCUAAUCGAAGUGUACGAGAGCAGGAAUCACCAAUUGGUCGCGCAGAAAUUCGAGGAGUUGAGCAACAGCAUACAGUUGUAACACAUCUAUAACUUGGUCUUGGCUGGUUAUAUUUCAGGCUGUCGGAUUAAACAAUUUUGCAGUGGAUUCCAGCUCCGUGACUGUUGUAUGCGUUAUAAAGAAACAAGUUAGGUGGAGGAUGCCUGUACGAUGGAGAUUGCCGGGUUAUUGAUAGUGAAAUGCAUAAAUGGUCCAGCUAUUUCUGGUCCCUACACGGGGUUUCCUUGUACUCUAUGCAAGGCAGCGUGUGAUGGGUUGUAAAUUAGCAAUGCUUUUGUCAGGUUUCAAUGUCUUUCUUUUUAUUAUUUUUUUUUUGACAGUUUUGCAAUAUACUUGAUGUGAGCAAUACUCAAUGGAUAUGCUGUGCGCAAUGCCCAAGCAAUCAUAGUUAUAAAACCUGCACAGCACACGGGCAGCCUAGUGACCUGUUGACUCGGGACUGGUUUUAUGUUAAAUUAGAUUGGAAAUUAAUCUGGGUUGAUUUGACUGUAAUUUGAAUAUGAAGCCUAGUUUGACUUUAUUUUUUUAAAAAAUAAAGUUGUUUUAACCUUUUUAUUUUCUUAAAAAAAAUAAUCUUGAAACAAUAUUGGGUUUGGAUCAAUCUACCCAUGAACCGGGUUUCGAGACGGCGGGUCUUGUAAAUAUGUAAAUCCCUUAAAAGUGGGGUCGUUGGGGCUCGACCAUAACGAGAAGCGAUCUGCUGCUUUUAGGAAGGCUAAAAGGCAAAAACAACAGGUACCUUCACACGAGCUCUGUCUGUGGUUGUUUUUGCAUCUUAGGCUUCGAUUAGGUCCCAGCAUAAAAAAGUCAAGGACAAUUUCACUGAAUGCUGCACCAGAGGCAAUCAGUAGCUGGUAAUAAUUCAUCGAUGUUGGAAAGAGCAUUGAAAAACUUGGCUCUCUAGUUUUUGAAUUUGGGUUGCUCGUGGGCCCAUCAUUAACUCUCGUAGAAUUUCCCUUCGGUGGAUUUGGUAAGAAAUGGCCAUCUUCUGGCACUGUUUGGAAGAGAUAGAUGGGAGAAUGGAAGGUAAAGAAUCCAUGUCGUUUUGCUUGAUUGAGUGCAUUUUUAUCCAAGAAGGAUGGAAAAUCUCCAUGAUCCAUCCCUUUCCUUUUCCAAUUCACACUCUCUGUUUUCCUCCUUAUCAGAUUAGAUUGGGUACUGAAAGCUUGCGCUCGUAGAGCUUCCUCUUGUUUCCUCCCUCUACUUUCCUCGUCUCCUUACAAAUCAAAACAAUUAUAGAAAGCCAUGGCUCUGUAUUCUUUUCCUCUCCCUCUUCCCUGCAUAUUUUCCUUAUCGAAAUUAUUAAACUUGGCUUCGAGUUUCAAGUUGAAUCGAAAUUUUUUUAUUAAUUUAGUAAAAUAUGAUUGAUUUACAAACUAAAUUUAUAAAGUUAAAGAAGAAGAAUGAAAGAGGUGAUCUUAUCAAGUAUUUUCCCUUUUGGGAUUUUUGACAAUGCUAUCUUUUCUACAGUCUUGUCAAAGACAAUGCUUGCCGUGAAGGGUCAGAGUAUUGUUCCUCUUUGAAGAAAAAAUCCAACGACCUUUUCCACUUAACAACAUGCAAGCUGUAGUAUUCACAACACAGUCAUCGACUAUCAAGCCAAAAAAAAACGUAUUUCCCGGCAAGAUAAAUGCUGCUAUCAUCUACGAGUGAUCACCAAGUGGAUAUAUAAAAAUAAUGUGUUCAUGUCUAAGCACAAGUAUUACGCAUGCCUCUGGCCCCCAUUCACCAUUGAAGUUGAAGAAACCUCAAUUUCAUCUCUGUCUUGUAUCACCUUAUUAUCGAUAAAAUUAACAACUAGUUGGAGUCUCAUAAAUUUCAGAGUCCCUAGAAACUUAUAUAAUCAUUAACUUCAGGACCUGUGAGAUUAGUUAAGAUACACGCAAAAUAGUCCGGACAUUCAUAUUAAUAAAAAAAAUUAACAACCAUGUGGUGGUUAUAUCAAGAAAUACAAGACUCGAUUGGUUGCUAAAUGUUACACUCAACAUGAAAGAAUCGAUUACGACGAGACAUUUUCAUUGAUAAGAAAAUCCAAUCGUCUGAUGCUGAUUGAACUUGAGUAAAACUGGUAAAAUCCAAGAGUUUGGGACUCGAUAAAAGAAAGAGUAACAUGUUGUGUACUAAAUUGAUGUUGUCUCAUGAAAGCCGAGCACAUGUAGCGAAGAAGAUGACAAAGGCGAGUCAUAGGAUACCUAGUUCACCAGUUGGGCUCUCCCUUGCUCUAAAACAGAGAGAAUAAAAAGGGUGUAUCUGUGUCUGAGCUACCAUUACUUUACAGUCAAUUAUUGAGGGCUUAAAACGACAGCAAAAUGCAAAUCUUUUUGACCACGAAAAUGUCCACAAAGCCAACAGCUUCAAUCACUUUAUCUAAAUCUAUGUUCCUCCUUUCCUUUUUCACCUCCACUUGCCACUGUUUUUAUUUUAAAAAAUAAAAAAUGUUUUUUUAGUGUAUUUAUUUUUUAAAAAAUAUCAAAUUAAUAUUUUUUUAUGAUUUUGAUAUAGUGAUAUUAAAAAUAAAAAAAUCUAAAAAAAAUUAUUUUUAUAUAUUUUUAAAUAAAAAAUAUUUUAAAAAGCAACUUGUAACACGGUAGCAACAACAAACUAACUCUCUUCUGUUUUUACAUUGCUUGACAUCUUUAAUUUUUCUCUCGCUUUACUUUUAUCCUUUCAUGUUAUCUUAUCCUUUUAAUUAUUAGAUUUAGAUGUUCUACCCCAUCCUACCCCAUCUGAUAUGUAAAUAAUCUAUAAAAAUGUCUAAAUUGUUUAUUUUUUUUUAUUAACGUGGGUGCCGGGUUAGUUUGCGAGCACCUUGACUAAUCUCACAGGCCCUGAAGUUAAUGAUCAUGUAAGCCUCCAGUGGCUAUCAUAUUAGCAACCAUAGGGCUCGAACUUGAGACCACAGUGAGAGCAAACUCCUUAAUACUACUAGGCCACAUACUAACUAAAUCAUUUAGUUAUUGAAUCAACUUGUGGACCAUCAAGUCAACUCAAAUCAAUUAUUUUUAUUAAAACAAUAUUGUUUUAUUUAAUAAAAAAUUUUAAAAAUCAACUAGGUUUUAUAUCGUGAAUUUUUUCUAUUCAACUUGAAAUUAAGCUCAUAUUAUAAAUGAUGAGUUUUUCUAACUUUACUUGACUUGACCUGACCUAUGGAGUUAGGUUUACCAGCUAUAUGCUACAUGUUAUAUGAUAUGAAAUAUCAUUUUUUAUGCUUUUCUUUUUUAACAAUCAAGGUAUAAAAUUAAGAAUAUACUUCACAAAAAAAAAAAAAAGGAAAACUUAAGAAUAUGCUUCUAAACUUGAUAUACAAGACAAAAAAAAAAAUCCAGGAUAAUGUUCAAAUCCUAAAAUAGGUUUGAUGGAAAUUUAGAAACUAGCUAGGGAAGAGUCUAUUUCCACUACAUACCUACCUUAGGAGUAGAUCAUAAAUUUAGUCCCCUUCAAUUUUUCCAAAAACAAAUUGAGUAAUUUUUAAAAAUUUUAAAACUAAUUAAUUAAUUUCUUGAUAUAAUAUUAUUUUAUCUUAAAAUAAAGGGAAUUUCUUAAAAACCCUAGGCUUGAAAAUGGAAUCACGAAAUCAUUUUGCAUGGAUAAUAAGCCAACAACUUGCACUCACUGUUGUAGCUUUUACCUGUACAAGCACUUCUGAAAUUGAUUAUUAUUUACAGGCAAUACCUCCCCUUGCUAGUCUGGAGGCCAUCCAUGUACAGUUCUUGAUUAUUGUUUUUUUUUUUAAUUAUAACGGUAAAAUCUACCAUAAUAUUAAAAGAAUGAUUGAGAGUGCGGUUAUACUUGUGGUUGCUUUUUAAAGUGUUUUUCAUUUGAAAAUAUAUUAAAAUUAUAUUUUUUUUAUUAUUUUUUAAAAAUUAUUUUUGAUAUCAGCGCAUCGAAAUGAUAUGAAAACACUAAAAAAAUAUUAAUUUUAAAAAAAAAUUUAAAUUUUUUCAAAAACAUUUUUGAAACGCAAAAAUAAACAAGAUGAUAUAUACUAAAAAACCGAGUUUGUCACUUUUGAUGAACUAAAAUGUUGUAAAAAUAAGUGAAAGUAUUCACUUUUGGUUAUUAAUAGUUAUAUUUACAAUCGGAAGGACAUAAUUUCGGUGAAAAUUCCACAACAAAAUCAUUGUAAAGUGAUGAUUUUUCACUAGAUGUAGAUUUUUGUUUAGCAUAGACGUUCAUAUUGGUUUAUUGCUCUAAAUUCAUAGCUACUCUUCUACUAUUUUUUUUUAUUAUUAUUAAUAUGAGUGUUUGGGUCAGUUUGCGCACACCUCAACUAAUCCUACAGGCCUUAAAGUUAAUGACUAUAUAAGCAUUAAAUGACAAUCAUAUUAGCAAUCACAUGACUCGAACUUGAAAUCACAAAGAAAGAAAACUUCUUGAUUCUAAGCUUUUAUCACUGAACUAUCUAUUAGAUAAUUAAUUUAACAGGUUUAUUUAAAUAAAAAAAAUAAAAAUGACAUCACCUUUUUUGACUAUUAAGCUAUGUUUUGAAAAUUUAAACAAAAGGAAAGAAUAUGGGGGAAGAGAAAGCGGGAGGGAAAGAAUCAAUAAAACACACAGGCCAAGUUGGCUUUUGGACAUAUAGGGUUUUUAUAUAGGAUAAGAUAAAUGUUAUUAAAUAUAGUUCGGGUCGUGAUCUGUGCUGCACAAGUUAAAUUAAUUAAAACAAAUUUAUUAUAUUUUAUUUUUUAAAAAUUAAAAAUGAUAUCAUUUAUUUUUUUUAAAAAAAUUAAACUAGAUUUUAACUGAAUUUUAAUUAAAUCGAUAAUAUAUAACUUAAUUCAUCAAGUUAUUUGGGUUAAUUUUUAUUUAUUUUUUAAAACCCGGCAUGAAUUAGGGUAUUGUUUGUUUUUUUUAAAAGUGUUUUAAAAAAAUUAAAUUUUUUAAUAUUUUUAAAUUAUUUUGAUAUAUUAAUAUUAAAAAUAAAAUUUAAAAAUUAUUAUUUCAAUAUAUUUUUAAAUAAAAAAUAAUUUUAAAAACAAUACUACGAAAUACUAAACUGGACGUAGGUUUGAGUUGCCCUGGUUUCAUGAAAGUGGAUUGGAUGAGGAACCUAAAAAGAAGGGAAAAAAGUUAAAGAAUUUAUAAAAUAAUAAAAGUAGAAGAGCAAAAAUAGAACAAGAGUGAGUGAAAGAGAAGAACUAGACGGAGGAGAGUGAAAAGAGGCUGGUCAGUCUCCUGUGAAUGCUCAGAACCUGCCACCACCUUGUCUCUUCUUCUUAACUAAGUCUUAAACUCUCUAAACUCACCAGUCACCACCUUCCUCCAUUUUUGGAUUAAUUAACAAGGACAAAAUCCAAGUGAACCACACACUCUCUGUCAUAAGUCCUCCACCCCCACCUUCUUGUUCCUGUAAUGGUGGAGACUUUCUGUGUUUCCUUUACAUGGUACCCAUUUUUAUAACCUCAACUACUCCCUUUCUUUGUCCCUUUGUCUCCAUGUUCCUUUCUUGACCUUUUUUAGCUAGUUAGCUAGCUAGUUUCUUUAGCUUUCUUUCUUUCUUUCUUGCUAUUACUAGCAACUUGAUCACAGAGAUAGUAACACGAAAAAUAAAGAGUACCCAUGUUGAGUUCUUAGCUUCUUGUUGAUUCUUGUUUUACUUUUAGAGGGAAGGGUGUGUUCAGCUGAGAGAGAAUCACCUUCUUAAGGUACUGUACUUUCUUCUCCUUUUCAGUUCUUUUUUGAAGGAAAUAACAAACCUUUGUAUUAACAGUUAAGAAAAACGUAUAAGCAUGUUUCUUGAAGGCUUCUUGUGGAUCUGUUGAAGUUUUCUUUGGGGGUUUGUGCUUUAUUGGUUAAAUAAACAAAGAGCAAAGAAGAAAGGCUGUAAAAAGCUGGUUUCUUGUUGGAAAAUAUUGAUUCUUGCACUCGAAUUUAUGUUGUUUGAAAGAGGUAAGCUUUGCUUAUCUAACCACUAGACGAAAAAUAGUGCACACAAGUAAGCUUUGUAUUUGUGACUUUCUUACACCAUCUUCUUGGAAGAAAUCUUGUUAUAUGUUGGUGUUUGAUUUUGGGAUUGUAAUGAUUUGCUGUGUCUUUUUCACAUGGGAUUUUUGAAUUUUUAUUUGCUUUUUCAAACGUGUUUAUUGUUUAAUUUUUGUUUUUACACUUAUUUUUCCCUCUGCAAGCUAAUUCUUUUAAAUGGAAUUUAGAGUAGUUACCCCAUGCUCUGUUUCCUCUAAUUUGUGAAUCAGGAAAAUUGCCCUUAAUUUUUUAUCAUGUCUUGAAGAAUCUUCUAAGUUCUUCAGUGGUUCUGCAGAUUACUAUAAGUUCAUGAAAAUGUUGCUACCUGGUUCCAUUGUGGACACCAUUUUCUGUCAGAUUGGCAGCCUGUCUUUUCAUUUUCACAAAAUAAAUAUUGAAAUGAUGAGUCCAUGUGUGGAAGUAGAGCUUUUUGGGGCCUAAUGUUGAUAUUUUGAUGAGGCUGACAGCUUUAUGAAAUGAUGUUUAUGCCUUUUCAACAAUCCCAUCACUCUAAAUCUAUUUCUGCCCAUUUCUUUUGUGUCUGAGAUAUUUGCAGGUUGUUUGUUGAUUAUAAAUAAAAAUGGCUAAUGGAUCACCAAAGCACCACCAUCAGCUAGAAGCGAAGAGAAAGCGCCUAACUUGGAUUGUUGGGGUCAGUGGCCUUUGCGUUUUGUUUUAUGUUUUGGGAGCUUGGCAGCAUUCCGCCCCACUCACAAAUCUGACUCAGUCCAUCACUAAAGCAGACUGUGAUGUUUCAAAUCGUGCCGCGGUUAGUUCUAAUCCAUCAACAUCUUCAUCAUCAGUUGCCUUGGAUUUUGAUAGCCAUCAUCAGAGUCAGAUCAACAAUACUACUUCAGUUAAUGAGUUUCCACCAUGCGACAUGUCCUUUAGUGAGUACGCUCCUUGCCAAGAUACUCAAAGGGGAAGGAAAUUUGAUAGGAACAUGUUGAAAUAUAGAGAGAGGCAUUGCCCAACAAAGGAUGAAUUACUCCUUUGCUUGAUACCUGCUCCGCCUAAAUACAAGACCCCUUUUAAAUGGCCUCAAAGCCGUGAUUAUGCCUGGUAUGAUAAUAUUCCCCAUAAAGAACUUAGUAUUGAAAAGGCUGUGCAGAAUUGGAUUCAAGUUGAGGGUGACCGAUUUAGAUUCCCUGGUGGAGGCACCAUGUUCCCGCGUGGAGCUGAUGCUUAUAUUGAUGACAUUAAUGAGCUCAUUCCUCUUACUGAUGGAAGCAUCAGAACUGCAAUUGACACAGGCUGCGGUGUAAGUUAAUUGCCAAAAUAUCAAGUUUUCUAUUCAACUUCUGUUUUCAAAUCCUAUCCAAAUAUCUUAAGGUACAUUUGUUCUAUGAGAAUUAGCAGCAUUCUAGGUCUUAUGUGUAUUGUUCUUGUCCUUUUUGUGGAUGUUAAGGUUGCGAGUUGGGGUGCGUACCUGUUGAAGAGGGACAUUAUAUCAAUGUCUUUUGCACCAAGGGAUACACAUGAAGCACAGGUCUGGUUUGCGUUGGAGAGGGGAGUUCCUGGUAUGAUUGGUAUCAUGGCUUCGCAAAGGCUUCCUUACCCAGCAAGGGCUUUUGACAUGGCUCAUUGUUCCCGUUGCUUGAUACCGUGGCAUAAAUAUGGUAUGCCCUUGAUUUUACCUUGCACUUGUGUUGAAUAACACGUGAAGCAUGGAUUUCUGCCCCCCAAGAUAGUUUGAUAAAAAUGGAGCUCAAUCACGACCACAAAUUUUUCAUUUAUCAAUGUGGUUCAACCAAACUUCUAUUGAUCCAAGUAUGUUGUUUUCUUUCAUUUCACAGAUGGUAUGUAUCUAAUUGAAGUGGAUAGAGUUUUAAGGCCUGGUGGCUACUGGAUUCUAUCUGGUCCUCCUAUUCACUGGAAGAAACACUGGAAAGGUUGGGAAAGAACCCAAGAAGACUUGAAGCAAGAGCAGGAUGCUAUUGAGGAUGUAGCCAAGCGCCUGUGCUGGAAGAAAGUGGUUGAAAAGGAUGAUCUUUCAGUCUGGCAAAAGCCCCUGAACCACAUUGAUUGUAUUGCAAGCAGGAAGACCUAUAAAACACCACAUAUAUGCAAAUCAGACAAUCCAGAUGCUGGCUGGUAUUCUUUAAAUAUACACAUCUUAAUUCAUAGUGUUCCGUAUACUAAUUUGAUAUGCUAACACCUUUGAUUUGACACCUCUACCAAAAAAGGUACAAAGAAAUGGAAGUUUGCAUAACUCCAUUACCAGAAGUAAGCAGCUCGGAUGAAGUAGCUGGUGGUGCCGUGGAGAAAUGGCCAGCACGUGCAUUCGCAAUCCCUCCAAGAAUUCGCAGUGGUUCAAUACCAGGAAUCACUGCUGAGAAAUUCAAGGAGGACAAUAAUCUGUGGAAGGAUAGAGUGACAAAUUAUAAGCAUAUCAUUAGUCCUCUCACCAAAGGCAGAUACAGGAACAUAAUGGACAUGAAUGCACAGCUUGGAGGAUUUGCUGCAGCCUUGGCAAAAUAUCCAGUGUGGGUUAUGAAUGUGGUUCCUGCCAAUUCAAAUCCAGACACACUUGGUGUGAUCUAUGAACGAGGUUUCAUUGGAACAUAUCAAGAUUGGUGUGAGGCAGUCUCAACAUAUCCAAGAACAUACGAUCUCAUCCAUGCUGGUGGGGUGUUUAGUAUAUAUCAGGACAGGUAACACUUGAAUUCUGAACAAAGCUAUUUUUGAUCGCCAUGAUCUUGCAAGUCACAAUCUCGUGAUUGAAUAUGUCUUCAUUUUUUUGUAUUCAAGGUGUGACAUAACCCACAUUCUGCUGGAGAUGGAUAGAAUUCUGAGGCCAGAAGGGACAGUGAUAUUCAGGGAUACAGUAGAGGUUCUUGUGAAGAUUCAGACCAUAACAAAUGGCAUGAGGUGGAAGAGCCAAAUUAUGGACCAUGAAAGUGGACCUUUUAACCCAGAGAAAAUUCUUGUUGCUGUCAAAACUUACUGGACUGGUGAAAAGAAGCAAAAACAAAAGGAGUAGCCAUAGUAGUGUAAUUUCUUACUCUUCCAGAAACCCCUUUUCAUUUCCUUUCUAUCUUUUCCUUUCUUUUUUGGUGACCAUCAUGUUGAAUCGGAUUAUUUGUCAAGGAUAUAUAUCCUUGUGGAUGAGAAAACGGAUAGGCUUUUCCUCCAUGUUAACGAAGAUAAAUUUACCCCCCCGUGUUUCUUCUCAUCUUUUAUCGUCAUAGUGAUAGUUUGGACUAGGUCAAGGUAAGAGAAUAUGAGAUAUUGUUUAUCACAGAAUAUAGAUUUUCUUUUUGAGUUCUUACAUCAUUUUGCAAGCUCACAAGAACAUUCUUUUAAGUCAUAAAUCCAGACCACUCAUAGUCAUUGUUAUCAACUGCAAUCCAUGAUGAUGACUGAACAAGGUGAAAUAUUGGCCAAAUGUAAGCCAUAGCCAUCCUCCAUUCAAUCAAACUAUAAUGUCAUUAAGCUUGAUAGGUUUUGGACUAUAGGGAAUUGAAGCUGGAAAAAAAAAAAAGAAGCCUGAUUAGAGGACUUGAUUAAAAAGAGGUUUGGGUUACCAGGUCCACUCGUGGGUCAUUGAGUCAAUUUAGAUCAAUUAUUUUUUAUUAAAAUAAAGCUAUUUUGUUUGUUUUUUUUUUAAUUUUCUUUAGUUUUGACUCGACCAUGUUUGACAAGUCAACCAAAUCAUUAAAAAUUUGAUCAAAUUAACUAAGUUUGACUAUCUCAAUACUUUUUUUGAAAUGUCUUUUUCAAUUUAACUUGAAACUCAACUCUAAUAUGCUUUAAUAUGCUUGGGAUGCAGGUUUUUUGGAUUAACCUAUUGAGUCGAGUUUGGUUUAACAAUUAUGAAACUCUUACCUCUUGAGAUCUUCAUUCUAUUUAUCCCAAGAUGUGAACCUAAAGCCAUAAAGUAAAAAUCAAGUCUUAACCGUUGGGACAUCUUCUUAAGAACAAAACACCUUCUACAAGAAGUUGGAAGAGGCAAGAUGGCUGAUGAGAUUAUCUUGUGCACAAUGAAGAAAAACCUGAGGAACCAACAUUUUGAUUUGGUUAACAAUCAAUGCUUGCUGAAGUAAUCCAUGGAGAGAGCCACUCCCAAACUCCCCAGCAAGUGCACUACUUUUAACCUUAGGAUUUGUCAGGCCAUCAUCUAUAUGAUGUUAAAAUAUGCCAUAACAUAGCAAAAUGUUGUCAGGCUAGGUUGUGUUCUUAAGCUUGUAGUGCCUUUUUUAACCAAAAGUGAAGAACUUGUUAUUGCUACUGCAUGUUAAUUACUUAAAUGUUUUUAAAUAAACUCUCUUUGCUGGAUGCAAGGUUCUUUUAGUUUUUUUGUUAUGGUUUUUUUUUUUAAUUCUCAUGUGACCAUUGCCAAAAAAAAAAAAAAAGUCUAGCUUUUUGUUUGUUAAGUUAGGUUAGGUUUUGUCUUGAAUAAUGUAUUGAGUUAAUUUAUUUUUUCAAUUUCAUUCCUUGAUUUUUUUAUAUAUUAAGUUUGAUUCUUAUUUUUUUAAUUGUAAUGUAUUUGGUCUUGGAUUAUUUAUUAAGUUAAUUAUUUUUUUCAAUUUCAUACCUUUACACUUUGUUUUUAUAUUAGAUUUGGUCUUUAUUAUUUUGAUUGUGAUGUUUUCAAUCUUGAAUCCUUUAUUGAAUUAAUUUAUCUUUGGAUUUCAUCUAUUGACAAUAUAUUUGUAUAUCAAAUAUGGUUCUCAUUCUUUUGAUUGUUAUUUUUAGUUGCUAUCAUUUUCUUAAUUGAAAUUGUUUUUCAAUUUCAUCCCUUAUGAUUUGGUUUUUUUUUUGUGUGUUAAAUUUGUUUUAUUUCUUUUCAAAUCUACAUUUUUUAAAUUUGUUUUUUCAAGUUUAUCGCUAAUUAUUUUGGUUGGUUUAGAAUUUUACAUUGUUAUUUUUUUCGGGUUUGCCUUUUACAUUAUGAUUCAGCCGCAUAAUCUGUAUAAAAAAAAAACUCAAUAUUUUUCAAAAAUACUUUUACACUACAAAAACAAACAGUGCUUAAGUGCCCAAGUGAGUGCGUAUUUUUGUAUUGGAACUUACUUUUCAAAGUGUUUUUUGCUGAAAAAGAUCAAAUUAAUGUUUUUUUGUGUUUUUAGAUGAUUUUGAUGUGUCGAUGCAAAAAAUAAAAAAGAUAUAAAAAAAUCAUUUUAAUAUAUUUUCAAUUAAAAAAUACUUUGUAUCACAAUACUAAAUAUAUAUUAUUUUUUAUUUAAGACUAAAUUUUACAAGUAUAAUUUUAUAUAGACUUGGUGUAUUUAAACUUCAAAGUUUUUUUUUGUUUUUUGCAAGGUGGUUUUUAAGGUUUUAAGAGAUACAGCAAACCUCUUUAAUCACCAAACUAAAUUAACUAUACGACGUUGGAUUGAUUUUAUGUCAAAAGUCAAGAGAUAUAGCAAACCUCUUUAAUCACCAAACUACAUUAACUAUACGAGGUUGGAUUGAUUUUAUAUUUAUUACGUAUAAAUUAGCAUAGUUAUAAGAAUUGGUAUAAUAUAAUGAGUCGACUUAAUAACUCGGACCUGACCAGUUAUGAAAGUGAUAUAUGAGAUUGAGAAGGUGUUUGAAAGUAUAAUAAUAGUUAAUUUUUUAAAGUGUUUUUACUCGGAAAUGCUUCAAAAUAAUAUUUUUUUUAAAAUUAGUUUUGAAAUCAGUACAUUAAAAUAAUCUGAAAACAAAAAAAAUAUUAAUUUGAAGCAAAGAAAAUAAAUAAAAAUAAAAUUCAAUUUUUUUUUAAAAAAAAUUUUAAUGCAAAAACAAAUAACCCCUAAUUUUACUUGGUGUGACAAUAAAUAGUUACUUUUCUUUCAAGAAAUUAAUGAAGAAAAAAUUCAAAAUAAAAUAAAAUAAAAAUAAAAAUAACGAAGAGAGGGCCUAGAGGUCAUGCCAAAUGCUAGUUGGACUACCUAUAGGUCAUAAAAAAAAAACAAGAAAGUCUACCUUUUUGUUUGUUAAGUUAGGUUCUAUCAUGAAUAAUUUAUUAAGUUAUCUAUUGAUAUUUUAUUUUUAUUUUAAGUUUGACUUUUAUUUUUUUAAUUGUAAUGUAUUUGAUUUUGAAUAAUUUAUUAAGUUAAUUAUUUUUUUCAAUUUCAUCCAUUUACGUCUUGUUUUUAUAUUAGAUUUGACACUUAUUUUUUUAAUUGUGAUAUUUUUGGUCUUGAAUUUUUUGUUGAAUUAAUUUGUUAAUGGAUUUCAUCAAUUGACAUUUUAUUUUUAAAUCAAAUAUGAUCCUUAUUCAUUUGAUUGUUAUUUUUAGUUGUUCUUAUUAUUUUAUUAAUUGAAAUUGUUUUUCAAUUUAAUUCUUUAAGAUUUGGUUUUAUUUUCUUUUAGUGUCAAAUUUGGUUUUAUUUCUUUUCAAAUCUAUAUUUUUUAAAUCACUUUUUUUAAAAUUUGUUCUUUCAAGUUUAUCAAUAAUUAUUUUGGUUGAUUUAUAAUUUUAUAUUAUAAUUUUUUCUUAUUUUCUUUUUACGUUGUGAUCCGUGUCAUAAAUUCUGAAGGUUAGACUGAGUUGACUUCAGUUAUUUUUAAAAAUUUCAUCUAUCAUCAUUGAGUUCGUUGAAAAUUAGUUUUUUUUGUCCGAUUUUGCCAUCUAGUUCAAUAUUUUUUUAUAUUUAAGGCUUGACUUUCAAUAUUUUGAUUUCUACUUUUGAUUCUUAGUAUUUUUAUCAAAUUUUAAUUUGUUUUUAAUUUCAUCUUUAGAUCCAUAAUCUUGAUUUUUUAUUUUUUAAGAAUCUAGUCCUCAUUCUCUUGAUUUUUAUUUUUAAUUUUCGAUUCAUUUGUUAAUUUGAUUUUUUUUUCAAUUUAAAAUUUUAGUUUAUCCUCUCAAUUUUUCUUUUCAAAUGAGGUUUUUAUUUUCUUAAUUGCUAUUUUUUAUUAUUUUCAAAAUGUUUUUUUACUAAAAAAUAUCAAAUUAAUGUUUUUUUUGUGUUUUUAGAUGAUUUUAAUGUAUCAAUAUCAAAAAUAAAAAAAUAAAAAAAUAAAAAAAAAUCAUUUCAAUAUAUUUUCAAUUAAAAUAUACUUUACAUAACAUUUCUAAACAUGUAUUUAUUUUUUAAUCGAGAAUAAAUCUUACUAGUAUAAUUUUAUAUAGACUUGGUGCAUUUAAACCUCAAAGAAACAAUUUUUGUUUUGCAAGAGAUAUACCAAACCUCUUUAAUCACCAAACUAAAUUAACUAUACGAAGUUGGAUUGAUUUUGUAUUUAUCACGUACAAAUUAACAUAAUUAUAAGAUUUAAUAUAGUCUGAUGGAUCAACUCACUAACUCGGACCUGAUCUGUCAUGAAAGUGAUAUAUGAGAUUGAGUUGACGUAAACAAACAACACCAAUUUUACUUGGUGUAAAUGUCUCGACAGGAAAUAGUUACUUUUCUUUCAAGAAAUUAAUGAAGAAAAAAAUCCAAAAAAAAAUAAAAAAAAAAUAACGAAGAGGGCCUAGACCCUAGAGGUCAAGCCAAAUGCUAGUUGAUCUACUACCAAAAGGUCAUACCAAAUGCUAGCCCUACCUGGUUGUUGGAUGUGGUGGCUAAAGGACUAUAGGUUAGGCUUCAAAACUGCCUGCAUUCCUUUUGACUUGCGCAGUUGCACUCAUUAAUUUAUUGGCAAUAAUUAAAAAAAUUGGUCAGAAAAUCUAGUGGGGAUUGUCUAUUUUAAUCAACUAUCAGGCCAUGGAUUAAGUCAGAUUCUCCGGUCUUCUACUUUGGAGGCACCUUCGCCAUUAGGAGGUAGUUUUAUUAUUAUUAUUAUUAUUAUUAUUAUUAUUAUUAUUAUGUGGGUGAUUAGGUAAGUUUGUGUGUAUUUUGAUUAAUUCUAUGAGCCCUGAAGUUAACGAUUAUAUAAGUCUCUAAUGGCUCUGAGGUUUGUGAGACUCGAACUGGUGACUUUUAAAAAGCAAAUCUAAAACCUGACCAGUUGAACUAUACCCCUCAGUAUUAUUGGGAGGUAGAUUUUAGACUUUACUAUAUUAUUUUUCUAGUAAUUCAUUCAUAGAAACUAAAUCAAAUUUGAUUGAGAUCAUUGGUAAUUCCCUAAUUUGAAGUCUGAGAAGAAAAUGGAAAACUUGUAAAUCUAUUCUCCUCUUCCUAAGGCAAUCACUGCAAACAUGCUAGUUCUAAAAAGGGUUAUGGAAAAAAGAAAAAAACCAAAGAUUUCGUAUAGUAUUUUUGAUCCAAAAUUGCUUUGAGGGAUUAAAAUCUAUAUAUUCUUGAAAGAUAUGAACUCCCUUUUCUUCCUCAAUGCUUAUAUGAUAAGGUCUAUGGUAAUCCUUGUUGGUUUCUAUUAGGGGUGAGCAAAAAAAACUGAAAAACUGAUUAAACCGAGAAAACCAGUAAAAAAAUAACAGAAAAAACCGAAUUGUGAAAAAAAACCGAUUAAAUUUUUGAAAAAACCGAUCGCUUCGGUUUCAGUUUUAUAAGUCUGAAACUGAAAAAACCGAACCGAAUCGAAUCCAAACCGAAAAAAACCGAGCCAAACCAGAAAAAACCGAGCCAAACCAAAAAAACCAAGCCAAACCAGUUUGAACCGGUUUUUGUCCUAAAAAAAUGAAACGAACCGAAACCGGUCGGUUUGAACCGGUUUCGGUUUGGUUUCAGGUUUUUUUUUGUUUGGUUACUUUUUUUUUUUUAUAAAAACCGAAUCGAACCGAAAAUGAUCACCCCUAGUUUCUAUCAAUCGGAUCGACAAAUGUCAUGAUUUGAAUGCAAUUGAAUAAAAUGAAAAUAUAAGGAGCAAAUGUGAAUUUUUUAUAUAGAUAUAGGAUAAGGGGUUUCUCUCUUUAAAAUUACUUUCAUGCUUUAGUAGUAGAGAGAUGUUUAAGUGCUUGACUUGCUUUAGAUUGUAAAAAUUGGUAUGGUUUUAUUAAUCACUCAUAAUUUAAAAUUUAAUUCGAAUUAAAUUUUAAAUUAAACUAAAAAAGAUUAAAACUCAGUAAAGUUUUUUCAUGAUUUAAUUGGCCAAAUCGAAAGCGAUCAAAUUAAAACCAAUAAUUUUUUUAAAAUUAAAUCACAAUGAAAUAAUUUUAAUAGAAAUAAUUGACGAGUAACUUUGGUUUUUUUUUCAAGUCAAUUCCCGUGUUAGGUCAGACAAAUCUACCUAAAAGUGGAAUUAGAAAUUUUCCAUGUAAUAAUUUAUCAAUUAACUAAAGGUGACGUUUUAAGAAAUAAGUCUAUGAUAAGAAAAAAUAAAAAUUAGGAUAAGGAUCAAAAUAGCUGUAGGAUAAGAGAUAUUUUCGAAACACCCACUAAUAUGUAUAUUUGUGCUGUCGACCGUUGAAUUUUGACUUUAAAUUUCUAGGCUUUUCAAUUGAGAUAAAGAUUAAAUUGCCUUAAUGAGAAGGCAUAACAAGCAGCAGAAUUUAAUGUGAUCUUGAAAAAUAAAAAUAAAAAAAAAUCACCAAAUUCUGCCACACGAUCAUCGGGCGAUGCAACUGAGUAAUUGAGUGUUUUAUAUUCAUAAUUCUUUUUUACAAAAAUCACUCUAAAUUCCACAGAAAAUUCAAAGAAAAAAAAUAUAAUAAAAAAUAAAGAAACAAUGCAUUCCCUUUAUUAAAAUGUGUUAUAAUAAGAUGACUUAGUGAUAAGAGUUUGAGACUAAGAGAUUUGCUCUUCAUGUGGUCCCAGGUUCGAGUCCUGUAGUUGUUAAUAUGAUGGUUACUAGAGGUUUAUAUGGUCGUUAACUUUAGGGUCUGUGAGAUUAGUCAAAGUACACGCAAGCUGAUCCGGACAUCCACGUUAAUAAAAAAAAAUAUUAUAAAAGCCCAGGAAAAUUUCCUUAGUCACAUAUAUCAAAGAAUAAAAUAAUUUAUUUUAAACCUGAGGGGAUAAAUAUUUAGUUUUGAUAUAUGAACAUUGACCCAAAAAUAUUAUUAUAGUUUAAAAAAAAAUGAAAAAAAGAAUAAAACAUCUACUUUUUCAAAUAAUAUACUCGAUCCAAAAGAACUAUAUAAUAUAGUUUAAAAAAGGAAUGAGACAUAUGCUAGCGGUAGAGAAUCAAAUAAUAUAUUUUAGAGCAUAAUAGAAGUGAAUACUUGUGAAGGAGAAUCUACUAAGGCGUGAAGCAUUUCGUGGAUGUGAAUAAUCAAUAGUUUUUAUUCCAUUAUUAUAAGUUGGAUCUUUUAGCUUAUUCUUGUUUUUCCUUUCAAUUGAGAUUUUUUUUCUAUAGUUUUGGACUUCCAAUUUGAUGUUGUUUAGUAUUUUUGUGUGUUUAUAUAUGAAUAGAUAUAAAAAUAUUAAAUUUGGCUAGAUAUUAGGUCUGAAUCAUAAAUUAAAUGAAUUAAUCUGAAUUAAUAUAAAAUAAUAUUCUUUUAAUUUUUUUAUUAAAAAAUUAAAUUAAGUUUUGAUUGAGUAAACUUUCACCUGAAUUUUCUUGAACCCAAUCCAAAUUAGAUUCUUGAUCAAUCCAUCAAACUGGUGGGAGCUAGUUUAAUAAGUAGAUAUAGUUUGAAAGUUAUGCAUCAAAUAAUUUUUUGAAUGAAAUAAAUUGAAGUCUUGUUAAAUUAAUUUUAUUUGAGUUCUUCAUUGUAUAAAUUUGAAACCCAACAACAUUAUCCAUAAAAAAAUAAAUAUAUUUAUUUGUACAUGAUACACCAACAAUAUCUCUUAUGUAAUUAAUUAUUAUUUGCCAUAUUAUUCUUACAAAAUUUAAUCUUUAUUUGCUCUACAAAACUAUCACCUACCUAAAAGUCUUUCAUAUGUCGACCGAACCUUGAUCCUUUCAAACCAUUUGGUCUUCUAUCUAUUUUUUUUUUUGUGAUAAAAAUAUAUUACUUAAACUACAUGUAACUCCUUCAAGUAUGACUUAAAUUCAGUUAGGUCCCUUAUUUUUGCCAAAAGUCUUCAAUUGAACCCUUAAUUUAUAGUAAUCAAUUCCAUAUAAAUUCAUAUAUAAGACUCAAAGUUGUGUGACAUCACGGAGAAAUGCAUGUUUGGCAAUAUAGUGUUUGAGAAAGCAUUAUUAACUCGUACAUGGAAAAUCCAUUUCAAUCCUCAAGGGUGUAACUCAACUAAUCAGAUCCUAAGUUUACUCCUCAGAGAUCACUAGUUCGAGUCCCACAAAUUUUAGAGCCACUGAAGACAUAUAUGGUCGUUAAUUUCAGGGACCGUGAAAUUAAUCGAGGCACGCAAGCUGAUUCAGACAUCCAUAUUAAUCUAAAAAAAAUCCAUUUCUAUUAAAUUAUAUAGAUAGAUUGGGUUUGUAUUUCCUUCUUCGUCAUUGAUAUUUAAAUUUUAGAUAUAGAUAUAAGGAAUAAAAUUCACAUAAAUUCUUUAUUUUCACAUAAAUAUUUUACCUUUGAUAAUAAAAUGAGAGGCAUGAACUUAGUUUUGGCAUAAAAAAACACAUGAUUGUUUCUUGCAUGACACCCCUUAAAAAAAAAAAAAAUUGCUCUUCCCUUCAUGCAUUUUAAAAAUCAAAUUAAGCUAAUUAAUCUCAAAUCACACCUUUAAUCCAAUACAUGAAAGAGAUUGAAAGAGAAUUAGAGAUCUUGAAGUUCUUUUCUCUCCUCUCUCUGAUUCAAACUUUAACAAGUAGACCCAUAAUCAAAACUUAUAUAAUUGUUAGAGGACUCAAUUGUAGUUUGCUCAGACUAUAAAAUAAUUGCUUUGAGUCAUUAAAUUAAUUAACCAAUCACUAAAUCAACCCAAGUUAAUAUCUUGAUUAUAACAGGUUUAGUCAAAUUAAAUGAAUCAUUAAAACUAUUAAGAUGGACGGAGUUUUAUCAAAUUAAUAUAUCAUUUAAUUUAAAUAAAAUCUCCAUCUAAAUUAAAUUUAAAUUCUCAAUAAAAUUAUGCAUGCGGAGGAUUUUUUUUUCUGUUUCCAAAAAGACGAGGAUAUCUUCACUUAUCACAUAACUUUAUCAUACAAGAGAGAGAAAAAAGAGCCAAAAUCACGCAAACCAGGAAAAAUUAAAAUAGAAGAAGCAGAAAGCCACACCGAUUAAUGGCGGCUGCGGCGGAGGACACGGUGGAGGAAGAGGUAGGUCGAGUGGUGGAACAAGCGAAGGAGUUGCAAGAAACCGCUGCUUCUUUAAUUGCUAAAUCUACACACGACGAACAAUCUGUUCGCCAAAAAGCUCUCUCUCUUGAGUCUUCUAUUCGGCGUUGCAGUUCUCUCCUUGACCGCAGCAAUCACCUCGCUCCUAAAUUAGCUGCCAAGGUAGUUAAUUAGAUUGAAUAUUUGCUCUGUUGUUGUGUAAAUUGGAUCUCUUUUGCUCUUCUGAUUGAUUGAUUUUGUGUUGUUUUGUUUAGCUUGAAGAAGAUUUACAGAAAGCAAGAUGUAUUAUAGCUGAUGGAGAUGCUUCUUCUUUUCUUCCUUCAAAGCCUCAAGGUCUUUUUUUUCCUCAAGAUGUAAUUCUUUUACUAUUAUUAUUAUUGGACUAUUCUUAAUUGAUUAAUGGACAAAUCAAAUAAAUUAUCUGGAUUUUAAUGAGAUAUGUUGUUGAUAUUUGCGUGCAGGGCGUUUUCUAAAAAUGUUUUUGGGACCGAUUAAUGUGCGUGCUUCUCGUAAAGAUGUGCAGUUCAAGGUUAAAGAGGAGUAUAACAGUUACAGGGUAUGCUUUAUUGUGUUUUAAUUUUAUCUCUUUUAAAAUUUUAUUGAAAACUUACAGUGUUGUGUUUCUCCGGGAGCAGGAUAGGACUGCACUUUUGUUUCUAUUUUUCCCAUCGGUUUUGCUUUGUUUGAGGUCUUGGGUCUGGAAUGGGUGCUUGCCUACGUUUCCAGUUCAAUUGUAUCAGGUAAUUUGUUGGAUUUUUGAUGAAUUGAGAGAUUUUGUUGAUAUUUUCUUAUUUCGUGCAAGAUCAGGUUUUUACAUUUUUGGCUUGUGCUUUGAUAGGCGUGGCUAUUGUUUCUCUACACUGGAUUGACUUUGAGAGAGAAUAUAUUGAGAGCCAAUGGAAGCGAUAUUCGUUCAUGGUAAUUGCAAUUCUGGCUUUUCUGUGCUUUAAUAUGUUGUCUGAGUGAGCUUUGUGUGCUCUUUAUAGUGUUCUGCAUGGUAAAUGCUAAUAAUUCGAUGCGUCUAAAGCAGUUCGAAUUUAGUGGGUGAAUUCUUUUUCAGCAUUCUGGAUUGGCUCAAAAUAUAUUGUAGCAGCUGAUUCAUUGCAUUGUGCCAUAUGAAUAGUUGUUUCCUUAAAGUUUUAGUUGGACUUUGGCUUGGAAGACUUCCAAGUUUACUGUACUGGAGUCAAUCAAAAGUGCAAAAAUCAGAGGGGGAUGGGGGUGGGGGUGGGGGGAAUAACAGAGAUUAACAUCCUUUCUUUAGUUUGAAGACAUACAACUUGAUCAAGCAGACUUCUUGUUUGCAAUCACAAACUAUUGCUUUCUAGCAGGUCUGCUGAUGAAUCUUAACUUGAUUCAGUCAGUGAAGUGUAUUUACCUUCAUGUUCUUCCUGUCUUUGUAUUUAUGGCCCUAAGGUGGUAUUAGUUCCACAAUCUUAACUUCUAGUAAUUGCUAGGUUCACCAUUUGUCAUUAUGAACAAUCUCUCAUUCAUGCUUUCCACAUUUUUGAGUUUCACAAAUUCCAUGACUGUAAAAGAAACGGCUACAUUCAUUAGAUGUAGCUAAUAACUCUACCUAUUUUCUCACAACAUGAAUCUUAAGCCUGCUUUGUUUGGCGAUCUGCCACAUUCUUCCAGCCAUGAGGUUAUUGUUCUCCUUUUGUCUGCAACUCAUCAAUAACUCGGCGGAUAGAAUCAUAGGGUGCACUCAGCACUAUUACAGCGGAAUUGAUGUUUUAGUCAUAAGCUAUACUAUUUUUUGCUUAGGGACUUGAGUAGCAACACAUAAUGGUUCAUGGUGCUUGGUGCUUGGUGCUUGUUACUUGUUACUUGUUCCUAAUUGGCGGGUACUCCAUAUACAGUUGAUAGUCUUAGAUGCCUGUAGCAGUCUUAUGAACUAAUGUUCUGUUUUUGAACAACUUGUCAUUUUGUGAAAUUAUAACUUUUGAGCAGACAAAAGACCGAACCAUAAAGCUUGUGAAGAAGGAUGUUGGAUUGAUGGUAGUAUGAUGACUGGUGCAUAAAACCACCACUCUUCCUAGCAGAAAGACUGUUGUCAUAUGAAGCUGUCCUUCUAGGCUCAUUGUUAGCCUAAAAAGGGUUUAAAAGGCCUUUCACCUCAAGAAAUAGGCGAAACUUCUAAAAACUGAAAAUGAUAUUUUUACUUGGCACAAUAGCUCAGUUUUGUGUUCAGCUCUAGAAACUAAUCAUUUAUAGACUCUCCUUUCAUCACCCUCUUAGAAAUAUGUUUGGAACAUGAUGAAAUGAUAUGGAACGUGGAAAAAAAAAGUUGGAAACCUUAGAAUUUUCUUGUUUGGUAGGUUUCUUAACCAUGGAAUACAGCUUAGUUUAAAAACCAUGGAGUACAGCUUAGUUUAAAAACCAUUCCCUAGGUGUGGUCUAGGCAGGAGAAUCUCAAGUGGGUUUACAACUUAGAGUCAUAAGCACUUUAAUUUUCAGCUCUGUGGUCUAUUUGGCUUUAGUUUUCCAUUCUUCUGGGCCAUUUCUGCUUAAUAGUCUUGCUCUCGCAUAAGGCUUAUUCCGCUCAUAGAGCAUUCACAAAAGUAUGAUGUUCAUCAUCAUGCAUGGAAAUGCCAGUUUCAUUAGUUAUUGAUGUCCCCCUGGAUUGGCACAAGAAUAUCUCAACAAAGUAGAUAAUCUGUUUUUGCAGGUGGAUCAACCAUCACUAUUGUGCUAUGAUUAUGGCCGUAGUUAGUCUCACAUGGGAGAUUAAAGGUCAACCAAAUUGUGCUCAGAAGCAGGUUACUAUUUUUCCAUUAGAUUCUAAAUGCGUUAUCUGUUUGUAUUUGUUAACAAUUCCUUGAAUCUUGCUCAGAGAGGGGUACAAUUGUUCUUGCAAUGGGCUAUGAUGCAAGGAGUUGCAAUGCUUUUGCAAAAUAGAUAUCAACGCCAGAGACUCUAUACCCGUAUUGCUUUGGGAAAGGUAUCAUCUUAAAAUCACUUGUAUGCCCUGCAAAACAUCACUGGAUGCUUUACUUUUGGUGUGGUCUGUUUCCAUCUUAAUUCUUAUGAGGUUUGUGGUUUGGUGAAGCUUGUCUACUGGUCUGUUGUGCAGGAUAGGAAUUGUCUCUACUUCAGAUGCAUAUUAAUUAGCACAUCAUAUUUUCAAUCCUUUUUUGUUUAAUUGUUAUUUUAGGCUAAGCGAAUGGAUGUUGUGUGGGGAGAAACAGCUGGUGUGGAUGGGCAGUUGUGGCUGUUGUGUCCUAUACUCUUCAUUCUGCAGGUAUUUAUGCUACCUCUUAACUGGUGUUCUCGUAUACAGAUGGAACAGGCCUGCUCUUUGCAUCUUUCUACUAAUCUUAAGAUUAGACCUAAUAUUGUAUAUACUUUGAACAAAUGAAGCAAAGUGUUAAUCUGAUAGCAAUUGAAUAUUGCAUUACAAACAUGAACUCAUUCCAGCCUGGUUGACAAAGGCUGUAGUUUUCACUAAAUUAUUUUGGUGGGCUAAGAAAUUCAUGUUCUUUUGCUGUGAAAUUGAGUUUGAUGCAAAGACAUGCUACUCGAAUGAAGUAGACUAAGGAGCAUAAUGAACCGCUUGUUUGGAAUCAAUUCCAAACUAGAAACUAGAAUUGAUUUCAAUGCUUUAAGUGGAUUGAAUUAAUUGAUUCUCUAAUUGAAUUCUUGGAUUUGAAAUUUGUUUUAAAAUUGUGGUCUUCAUUUGAAUUGAGUUACUCGAAAUACAUCAUUCACCCAACUUGCCCUCUUCCCAACCAUCAUUUUCUUUCUUAUCUCUCUCAUUUAUUGAUGUGAUUAAAGAGAGUGAAAGAGAUCCAACACAGCCUAUGGCUAUGGCUGGUCUACCGGACUAUAUGGCCUGGAAAAGAAAUAACUCUUUAUUAUAAAAUCUCAAGUACAAAUAGUUAUAAUCCCUUACAACAGUGGUAGCCCUUAAAUGGUUAUGCAAACCCUUAUAAAAAGAAAUCCUAGCCUUAAAAAUAACUUAAUCCAAGCUGUUCAAAUAAAUCCUAAUAAAAUAACAGAGAACCAAAAUAGAAAAGGAUAAAAACCCAACUAAAAGAAACCCAACAAACUUGACAUUCUGCUUUGAUGCUGCUCCUGCAUCAUUUAUACCUGCCACCUCUAUCUAAAUUUUAUUUUAUUAUUUGAACUUAACCAAACCGCAACCAAUCUUCUACCUGCCAAUCCUCCACAACAAUAGAUGAUAGCUAUAGACUAGAGAUGAAAGCGCAGGAUAUAAAUUCUAAACAAAUAUUCUAUGGGCUAGCCAUUUUCUGUAUUACUUUCCAAGUCCAAGGGACCAUUACUGUAGACUUUAUUAGUAGCAUUCAAGGCCGGAGCGGAAAGGAAGGGGACAAUGAACUGCUUGUAUCCAUAGAUGCAGGAUCAAAUUGUUUCCAAGGAGCAGGGCAGAGAUCCAUGUAAAAGAGGGUUCUGUUUGGAUAGACAUGGCAGAUGAUACACCACUUUAGAACCACUCUGUGUUUGCUUAAACCAAGAGUGAACAUUCAACCAAUUUUGCCUGAAUCUUUCAGACAGAGAUAUUUUUUUUUUCUUUCUGAGAAAUUAACAUCCAAACUACCACUAGCAACUUGAUUGUGAGAAGAUCCAGAUUUCCACAUAUAGGAUGUGCCUCUAUCAUUAAAGAGUAAACCAACUGUAAACCAACUGAUUUCCACAUAUAGGAUGUGCCUCUAUCAUUAAAGAGUAAACCUAACAAAAUCAUGACUGCCACCAACAAAUCAACUCAAAAUUAAUUUGUUGUGACCAUCUUCCCAUUCUCCGAAGGUGUCUUUGGGACAAGAUUGGUGUUGAAGGAAAACAAAAAAAACUUUGCGAAGCAGACGAGGAGGGUGUUUUUGGGAUAAAGUUCUCAACGGUCAAUUCUGAAGCAAACUGCACCGACUUUGUAUGUGCUUAAUGGUCAAUUCUAAUGGUGCAAUUUGCCAUCAUACAGAAAUUAAUGGUUCCAACGGGUUGUGGAAUUCAUAUCAGUUGCUUAGAGCUUUCCAAACCCUGGAAUUGAGUAAAUGGUGUUGAAUUGAUUUCAUUUCUACCAAAUUCUGAGGUUUCACAAAAGGCAGGAAAUUCUAGUUUAAUCAUGAGUGCCUCAUUUGGGUUGGCAGGCUUUGCGCUCGUUUAACAAAGCAUCAACAGGCUUCCUCUUCUGCUGCACAUUUGUUUGAAGGAAAUUGAAGAAGCAUUAGGUUUUUCAAAUGAUAAUGCAAUUAGUGUGAUCUACUACUAGAAAUUUUGACAUUUGAAUUGUUGAAGUAAGCAUGAUGGCCUGAGCUCAACCUGAUUAUAUUGUAGUGCUUCUGGAAUUGAGUUUUGACCUGAAUAAUUGUAUGUGCUUCUGGACUUGAUAUAGGGUUUUGAGGCAUAUGUUGGACUACAGCUGCUCAGGACUGCAUACAAGGGGGUCACCUCCGAGUGGCAGGUAUGCUUUUAUAACUUUCUUUCCCCCAUUUUAAGAUCCAGCAAUCUACAUCCGUACAAAUUUGCAGCAUUCAAUUUGGUGACAGAAUCCGUUUCUGGCAGGUUAUUUUCUGUGGUGUCCUUCUGGUCUUUAUGGCAGUCGGGAACUUCUUAAACACAGUAGAGAUACUAAUGGUGAAGUCAAGGUUUAAGGCAAAAAUGAAAAGUAAGAGCAAGCAGGAAAUGGAUUGAGGUACUUCUAACCUUUAGGAUCACUCCUUCCAUUCUCUAUAGAAUCUCAAUUUUGGAAUGUUCUUUCGUGGGUCUUGAAACAUGUUUUGUUGAAGCUGAGGCAGUGAAAGUUUCUCCUCUAGGCCUUCAUUUCAUUAUACCCUUUGCCAUCUACGUGUUUAUAGCUCCCAUCCUAAUCGUGGAACCUGGCCAUGAAGUGAACUUGAUCACCCAGAGAGAUGGAUGCAAACGGUCAGCAAUAAAACCCUCUUAGUUAUCUGUCAUAUGUCCUGUAAUCUACUGUUUGGCUUUAGUUUAGGUAGAGGUCUGAGUUUCAGUCUCGCAUAAUGAAAGCGUGGUCCUUUGUCCUUGACAAGUUAUUUACGAAGUUAUCAUAGGCGAGAAUCUUGAGUUUUUGUUUACAAAUUAUCACUCUUCAGAAAAGCAGCUAUAAAGAGCUUGUGUUACCGGGAGUAGUGCAACCCUUUAAUUUUCUCAAGUGUUGUGCUAGUAGCGUGUAUUUCAUUGAACAAAAUUUCCACGUAUUUUAUUUGUUCAACUUGAGAUUUUUCUUGUGAAGAUUGCGCUAAAUCUUACUGAUAACUGUGAUAGUUUUUUUUUUGAAAAAAAAAAAAAUUGAGUGAGCCUGACUGAAUCGGUGUUGUCGUCUUCGUUAAGUGGCUCACGUCCUCUCCACCUCUGAUCAAGUCACGGUGUCCUCUUUGCUUGGAAAGCACGGUGAUUUCCUCUUGCAGUUUUUUCCCUCAAAUUUUGCGUACUGAUUCGGCAGUGUGGGAAAUGGUGAAUGCAGUGACGGGAAUCAUUAAAUGAUUGGUCUUGACAUUCAUAAAGUGGAUGUCAUGCGAGAGUACAAAAUGUUCGUUCUUUCUCUGCACGUGCAGCUCUACUCAUCAUCAGCCUUGUCGAAAUCUACAUAGUUAUCCUCGGACCGGAAAGUGGGCAUCUGUGAAGACCAGGUAUCGAAUUUAGGUGAUGGUACGGUCUCCGGGCUUCGUGGGUAGAAAUGAUUGUGUUUCCGGGCGAUGAUUUAGAAACCUGAUGAGGGUUUUUGCAGAGCUUGCCUGUAAAACCAACCCAUUCGUCAAUUUGACAAAAAGACGCUUGCUUGCUCCAUUUUGCGGCUGACUGUGCUGGUUGUCUCUCUGAUUUUUUGCGUGGGAGGGAAUAUCCUCUCUUCCAAGAACAAGUGAUGUGACCGGCGGAUUGAGGCUUGAAUUUUAUUUAUUAACAAUCAUUGUGGGAUCUGACAGGCCUGCGUCACCAAUUUGAAGAAAUAGGGCAAUGCCCUCUGGGUCCAAUGGUACUCUCUCUACCCAUGCGAAGCCUUCGAAGAAAGCUGUUUGGGAUUACAUCACUCGAUUCAAAAGAGUGUAACCCAAGAAAGAGAUUCCUUGCUUGGAUAAGUGGAUUGAUUUCAUUUCUUAAAUAAUUCCUGAAAGUAUCCAAAAUGUUUGAUUUCAUUUCGUAAAUUAAUGCUAUCAACAAUUGCGAGUGUUACCAUCAAUUGUUCGGGUGUCGAUAUCCACUAGCUAACCAAGCACAUGCCAUAGUUAUAAAAUCCAUUUGGACUCAUGAUUCAGUCUGAGAUUUGAGUUUCAAGUUAGAGUUAUCUGGAUUAAUAAGAUGAUAAAAAAUAAGAUUUUGAGAUCUAAUUUAAUAUAAAACCUCACUAAAAUCAAACUUUAGAUCAACAAGUUUACGAGUUUAACCGUUACAUCAGACGAGUUUAAUAACAUUUAUCAUACGCAACCAUCUAGUAGGUCCCAAGUGGUAAGAAUUUGAGAUUAAAGGGUUUGCUCCUUUUAUAGUUUCAGAUUUGAGCCUUGUGAUUGGUAAUAUAAUAACCACUGAAAGCUUACAUGAUCGUUAAUUUAAGGGUCCGUAGGAUUAGUUAAAGCAUACAUAAACUAACACGGACAUCAACAUUAAAAAAAAAAAAAAAAACAUUCAUCAUAGGCAUGGAACAAAUGAGCAAACGUGGAAUCCACAGGUAAACAGUGCACUCUCUCUGCAUAAUUUAAUUAGUUGGACUAACAACGAAUAUCUUGUUUUUCAGACAUUUAAAUCGGCCUGCAAUCUUCAUGGUAAUUAAAUGAACUGAUUUGAAUUGAAUUGAAUUCAUCAUUGAAUAAACUUCGGACAAUUAUAAUCUUUACAGCACUGGAAAAGUGAAAAAAAUAAUAUCUUCGUGUGCGUGGUGCUUUCAUGUAGGCUCCUGACAGCUGCAGCCCCGUUAUAAUUUGUUCUUCAUUAUUAUGUGAUAACGUCCACCUCAAUUAUGACGAUUGAAAACAAAAUAGCAUAGUUGUUAAACUUUAGGUUUGUCAUGUCGAUCGAUCGGGAAAAUUUAGAAUUCAAAACCUAAGUUGUUGGAGUAGAUUUAUAAUUGAAUUAGAUAAGAAAUAUUAAUAAAACAAUAAGAUUUAUAAUAAUUUUAGUUGAUCAACACAUUUAAAUCCAAGUUUAUUUUUACGUUUAAAAAGCGUUUUUGAAAACAUUCAAUUUUUUUUUAUUUUUUUCUUUGCUUCAAAUUAAUAUUUUUUGAUGUUUUUAAAUCAUUUUAAUACGAUGAUAUCAAAACUAAUUUUUUAAAAAUAAAAAAAUAUUAUUUUAAUAUAUUUAUUAAUGAAAAACACUUUGACAAUCAAUCGCAACCACACUUUUAAACACGCAAAUCAAUACUAUAAAAAAACACAUACUUUGACAAUCAACCGCAACCACACUUUUGAACACGCAAAUCAAUACCAUAAAAAAAACACAUUUAUUUUAAUAUAUAUAUAUAUAUAUAUAUAUAUAUAUAUAUAUAUAUAUAUAUAUAUAUAUAUAUAUAUAUAUAUAUAUAUAUAUAUAAAAUAUGUAAUUCAUAUGUGAACAUAGAAAAUCAUGAUCAGACGUACGGUUUUAUUGCUACUAGAACUUUUAUGGCCUUUCCCCAUUAUAAAUAAAUAACUUUAGCCAUAAGCUAACCCUAUAAUUUAAUAAGAAAUAAACUCAGUCAUUAUUGGCAAAACCCUAAGAAUAGUUAAUGCAUACUUGCUUGCUCCUUCCAUUCUUCUCUAUUUCACCAAUCCCCACUCUAUCUCCCAUCUUCCUCUCUGAAAAAUAAAACCUUUGAUGCAUAUUUAAAACUAACUAGGAGAAAAGUCCAGGCUGGGUGUGUAUAUAUAUAUAUAUAUAUAAACCCUAAUAAGUGGUACCAAACUACUCUUUCCCAUGUGCUGAACCUAAAAUUGUAUGAUUGGUACUGUUGGUAUUUGUAUUAUUAUUAUUAUUAUUAUUAUUUCUUGCUUACAUCUGCCAACACUAAAAUAAUUGUGGAAUAUACCUGAAUUCAUAUAGAUGUGCUGUGCACAUCAUCAUUGGAUAAACAGAUUUAUUUUUAUAUUUCUAUCUUCAUUUCUUCAACUAAAUAUGUUCUUUUUUAAAUUUUUUUACGCUAUAACACGAUCGAAACGCAACUAAAUAUCGCAUAAUUGACAACAUUUACAUGUCAAUGAUAAUAAAGGGAGCAAUUGAUGAAAUAAAAAGGCAUAAAUUAAUAGAUUAUUGAAAGAAAGAAAUAAUUACAAAGGAAAGGGUGAAGAAGUGGGGGGGAAUGUGGUGAUGGGAAGGAAAAAUAAGAAAGCACAUGGGUGGAUGUGGGUAGGGCAUGCCAUGCUUUGAUGCAAGAUUUACAAGAUAAGUGGAUUAGAGAGAGAGAGAGAGAGAGAGAGAGAGAGAGCCAUGGUUGUAGCUGCUAGUUGGCCUGCUAGUUGGCCAAAGUGUGGAUGGAUGUGUAGUGAGUGGGGAAUUAUGGGACAGCAAUUUCAACAUCUGUUGCUCUUGGUUCUUGUCAAAAUUAAUGCAGAUCCCCCAUUAUUACACUGCUGCGAAGCUCUUCCAUUUUCUAAUUAUUUCCCUUUUUUUGCCUUUUAUUUUGAAGUUUAGCCAACACCAUAUAUAAUAUUUAUUUAAUUUUGAUUAGUUUUCGUAUUUUUAAAAACAGAUUAAUCUCUCUCUCAAUCUCAGUUCUAGCUCAAACUUUAUUUAUAUCCCAUCAGGUACUGUAAUAUAAGUUCAAUACAAGUAUAAUACAUUAAUAAAUUAUCGUGUUUCGUAUCAAUAUAUUAAAAAUCAAUGAUAAAUACACUUCAAAAACAUUAAUUUAAUAAUUUUUCAAGCCAAAUUUAAAAAACAUCUAAAAGCUGGACUCCCAAUAGGUUAUUAUUGUGUUUAAUAUUUUGGUGUAUAUUGUUUUUUUAUAAAUAAUUUUUGCUUAAAAAUAUAUCAAAAUAAUUCUUUUAAAUAAUUAAAAAACAAUUUAAUAUAAACACACUUUUAAAAUACAAUUUAAAAUGCAACACAAACACAGUUUAAAAUAUAGUAUAAGAAAUAGUUCUUUCUCCGUCAGAUAAUAAUUAAUUAAAGGAUAAACUAUACCUCGCUGUGUUUGCCAUCAUCAGUUAAUAAAUUGGACCGCUGAAAUUCAGAUUCCUAACUUCAUUUCUACCCUACAGGAAGAAAGUGAUCGAGGGAGACAGUUUCUUGCUUAAUCUGUGCUGAUCAUCAGGUUUUGGAGAUUUAUUUAUUUAUUUAUUUAAAGAAAAAGAGUCCAUCAACAGCUGUUCUGAUUGGAAAUACAUUAUUUUGUUUGUAAUAUAAUAAUGUUUGUAUGCGUCAAUGAUGUUGUUUGUCCCCAGACCAUGAUAGUGCAAUAUUUAUUUAUUUAUUUAUUUUUAUUUAAAUAAAUGUACAAUAUACUUUCUUAACUAUUCCUUCCACACAUAUAUCAUACCCUUCUUCAUUAAAAAUCCUAUAAAUUAAAUUAACACUAAACAAGAGAGAUGGAUUAUCUUUAUUAAUUAAUUAAAUCUAAUUUUUUCCUAAGAAUUGCCAAUAUUACCAAUUUCAUGUUCCCAUUUCUGACAGUUUCAUCAAUCAAGAGAGCUUUGGGAGCUUCACUCUGGCCAAAGGAGCACGAAAUUGUAAUUUCUUUAAUGCAAUGCAUCCAAUUAGGUUAUUAAAAAAGACGACUUAAAGGCCUGUUUUUAUAUAAUUUUAAAAACGUGAAUAUAUAUAUUUUUUUUUUCGUAUUUCUCUCUUGUUAAGUAAGUAUUAAUAAUUAUUAAGAGUAUUUCCAUCUAAUCUCAAAAAUUUAUGUUUAUUUAUCUUUUUUUUCUUGUAUAUCUAUUUCUCUCUUGUUAAGCAAGUAUUGAUAAUUAUUUUAAAGCACUCUAAAAUAUAUUAAGUAUUUUCUCAGACAAAAAAAGAAGCAAUAAUUUUUAAGAUUAGGAGACCACAGUUAUUACUUAAUUAAUAACACCAACUCAAAUUGGCUUUACUUAUGCUCUAAUGGAAUUUGAUCUUAGAAGUUUGAUUAGUCAUCCACUUCACUACUAAAUUAACUCAAAAAUUAAUUAAGGAGAGUAAUGAAAUAUUAUCUUUUUGAAAAAUCUAAUAUGGAUUUAAUUAAUAUAAGCAAGCAGAGAAUAAUUAUUGUAAUUAAUCACUGUAAGAAUGCUGAAUUAAAAGAAAAAAAAAAGAGUUUGAUUACAUUGUAAAUAAAGAUGAAGAAUUCCUAGAAAACCACCCAAGAUUGGUCAUUAAGCUCAUGCAAACCAAGAGAAAGUACUUAAGCAAUGCUUAUGAAUCAAAGAAAAUUAAAAUUAAUUAAGUAACAAGAUCUGCUAGCUUCUUCUAAUGAUUAUACGAUCACAAAUUACCAGCAUGCAUAUUAAUUGCUCUAAUUAACUUGUAUAAUUUCUUGCUCUCACUCCACAUCUUCUUCUUCUGGGCUGCUUCUUUGCUAGCUGCUGUCUUCAGUCCGAUGAUCUCUUUGAUGAUGUUGACAUGAAUAAAUGACUAAGCUUUUGCUGGCUGGCUGCUAGCUAGCCAGAUAGGCUAGGCAAGCUUAUUAUGGUCUUAAUUCCUUGAUCAAUCCUCCUGUCUUGUCUUGAACAAACAGGUGCUUUAUUCAACAACAAAUCAAUAAAUUGAAAGAAAAAGUGAUACAAAUAGUGGUGAUGCAUGAUUGCCAUGCAAAAUGACAUUUCAUCGCAACAAAGCUACUAUGGUGAAGAAGGAUAGAAGAAAAGGGAAAGGAAAGGGACAGGAUGAGAAAAGAAUUUAUGGGGUGAAGGGAAAUGGAAUUAAAGGGAGGGAAGGAAACAAAAAGGAAGAAUUUUUAAGGUUGUCAGGCUUUGAACUCAAAUAUUUUUGUUAGAUAACUUUUUUUUGAUUUGAGCUUCUGCACACAUAUGGUACAUUUUGGGAUCUGAGGAUAUUGACAAUGGUACUAUUGAACCAUGGCCAAAAAGGAGGGUGCCCCAGACCCUCCUCCAUUGGUGGCAUUACUUGUGUUCUGCCUUUGAAACUCUAUCUUGUAUGCCAUUUUCCUCUCCUCUUGCAAUGCCUCAUCUUCUUCUUCAUCUUCGUCGCCGUCGUCUUCCUCAUCAUAUUCAUCUUCAUUUACGUUUUCGCUGUCACCUUCCUCCAUCUUAUCAUAGUCAUCCACCAUUAACUGUUGUUGUUGUUGAGUCCCCUGCUGUUUCAUCAGCUCCUUCACGAUGUCUUCUGGCUUCAAUAUGAAAGCAAGAAUCAGUAGGCAUCAAAUAACUGAGCAUUGAUUACUUCAGGCAAUAUAACUAUAUAACACUAUAAGUUCGUUUCUUUUCUUUUCUUUCUUUUUUUUGUUGAACAAAACUAAGGUUUACCUUCUUUUCUGCUCCUCCAUUUCCUUCUCCAAAGGGGCUUCCUGCUAAAACUGUGUUGCUUGCUUGAACAUCAACACUAGCCCCAUUUUUGUUUUGUGAUUCUGUGGCUUGUGUCUGUUGCGGCACUGUCUGCUGCAUUGGAGGUGGCAUUGGAUCCAAUUCUAAGCUCUCUUGAUGCUGGUGCUGCUGUUUUUGUGGCCUAUUAAUUUGGCUGUCAAAGCCACUAGUGGAGGUGCUUCCCGCACCACCACUACUGCUUCCAAGUAUCUUUUUCCUAUAAAGGGCAUCAAGUUCAUGAAAAUAAGGGCAAGUCUUGGCAUCUUCUGUCCGUUUCUUGUUACUCUCUUUAACUUUCUUGAAAUACUUAUUGAUAUUCUCCCAUUUCUCUUUGCAUCUUUUGGAACUUCUUUUAUAGCCCAACCUUAGCAUCCCUGCUGAGAUUUCUUCCCAAAGUGGUCCCUUAGGCCCAGCUUCUUGGUAUCUAGUUUCAAGCCCACUUCUCAACUUUAUAAGUGCAAGAACUUCUGGCUUUGGCCAUCUUGAUGAUGCUGGUUCGCUCCCACCACUUCCAAGUUCCAGUGGUGCUAUUUGUUGUUCCGGGACCGCCAUUACUAUUUCUGAAGAAAUGGAUGGUGGUUGGUGUUGAUGAUGAACUUGUUGGUGCUGCUGUUGUUGGUGAUGUUGCUGUUGGGGUAGUUGCUUAUUUUGUUGUGGUGUUACUUGUGACAGUGGCAUGGGUUGCGGUUGCAGUGGUGGUUGUGUUGAGACAGUGACCAAUGGCGCUAUUUGAACCUGUUGUGGCUGUGUUGGUGGUGGUGGUUGUGGUUGUGAAACUAGAGGAGCAAUUGAUACAGGCGUAGGCAAAUGAAUAGUUUGGCCAGUAAUUUUCUGUAGAAAGGCAACAAUAGCUGCAUCUCGACUAGCCGAAAUAGACCGUUCUUGAGCCAUAAUCUCAUGUUCACGACUCAAUCUAGCCAUUUCUUGCCUUUUCCAAGCUUCAUCCCUUAUCAUCCUAUCUUGUUCCCUCUUCUCAAUCGCCUCCAAAAAUCUAUGUUGCAUUGCCUCUUGCUUUUGCAUAACCUGCUUCAUUAGCCCCUCAAAAAACUCCAUCAUACGAUGUGUUUCUCCUUUCGACGAUGAUAAUGAUGCCCUUUUACGUUUUCGACUUGUACCAGCACCCAUGGCUGAUGUUUGUCCUCCUAAUAUACCUUCAUCCUCGUCGUCGUCAUCAUCUUCAGAACUUUGAGAGGAAGAAGACUCAUUCGACGAGAAGCUGAUUCGAACCGGGGCACCUGCAGCAGCUGCACGCGCCACUGUUGCCCCCAAAUCAGGAGGAAACAUGGAACCAAUAUUUGAAGCUGGUUGAGGCACCUGAGAAGAAGGUGGAGGAGUUCUUAUAGGCAUAGGAAUCCCAACAGAAACAGGAGCAACAUCUAGGCUGCUUGUUGUUGCAGUGCCAAUCAGCUGAGGAGCAACACCAGACACAUUGCUAAUGCUAGAAGAAACACCACCACCACCACCAGUAUUCUGCAAAGCUUCAAGCUGGCUAAAAAACCUAUAGCUUUUCCCAUCUUGACGACCAGCUCUACCCUCCUUUGUUCUUUUGUAAUACUUGUGCACGUUCUCAAACUUUUCUUUGCAUUUCUUGGCACUUCUCUUGUAUCCCAUCUCUGCUAGCUUCCUGUUCCAUCAUAUUUCAACUUUAUUACCACAAGUAGUACCAGAGUAGUUUUCGAUGAUAAAAAAAAAAAGAAAUUAAUUUUUGCCAAUGAUCCAAUCAUACAAAAUUAAUAAACCCUUUCUCUGCUUAUGCAAUCCAAAUUCUGACCUUAAUUUAAAUUUAAUAAACAAGAAGAUGGUGCUCUCUCUCUCUCUCUCACUCACUUUCAUAGCUAUAGGCCCACUGACUUCCUCUCCACUUCCCAUACCAAUUAUCUAAUCCUUUUAAUAAGUGCAGAGAGAGAUAAAACUUAAAAAAAAAAAAAAAGCUGCUGGUUUUAAUAGUAAAAACAAAAAUGAGAAAUUGCAAAAGAAAACGAAUCGAUCUUUUUCAUAUUCCUCUUGGGAUUUUCAAUUUUUCUUCCAUUGAGAUUGAUAAGAAAGGGAAAGCAAGUGAUGGGUUAUAAGCCAAUUGGCUAGAAUUCAUGCAGCCUAUAAUUUUUUUUUUCUCGUUUUUUAAAUAAAGAUGCAAGGCUAACUCGUGAAUCGUGAUGGAAAGAGAUAGAAGAAGCCAUGUGCUUCUUCUGUUUACAGAAUUAAAGAGAAAUGGAGAUCUAAGACAAAAAUGGUAUAAAAAUAUUAUUUUUUUCGAAAAAAAAUGCAAAAAGGGUUGUUGUUAUCAUUAUCAUUAUCAUUUACCUUGAAACAUCCUCCCAUAGAGGACCCUUUAAGGUGGCAUCACGAAAAGCAGCAUCCAUUUCAGACCUAAUUUGCAAAAGGGCAAGUGUUUCUUGCCUUGGCCACCUAUUGCCACUAGCAAUACCUCCUGUUCGAUCUGCAUCUUCUCCAGCAAUAUCUUCUUCUGCACCACCACCACCACCUGAAAGUCUCAUAAACUCAUCCAAAUUCAUAACACCACCACCACUUGUUGUGGCAGCAGUGGCAGGAGGUCUGCUGCUAAUGGGUGAUGCUUCUUCUACGACUUGUUGCUGCUGCUGCAUGUGGGUUGCCAGUGCAGCAGAUGUAGAAGGAGGUAAAGGCAUAUCACCUUGUUGUUGCUGUUGCUGUGGCACUGCAUAUUGUGACUGUGAUGACCCUCUUUCUCCACCUCCUUGUUGCAUCCUUGAACUUAACUCUCUCCAGUACUUUUCUUGAUAUUAAAUUUUCAAUUCUCGAGGUUGAGGAUCUCUCUUCAUCUAUGAUAAUAAUUCAGCAAGCAAUAGUUUAUUGAUCCCUCUGUCCCCUCCCUCACCAGAGCAUAAAGGGAUUAAGGAAGAAGAUAAGAGAAUUGAGAGGGGGAGAGAGAGAGAGAGAGAGAGAGAGAGUAAGGGAAGUUCUGGUGAAAGAUGGAGGUGAUGUUAAAAAGAAAGGGCAAAAAAAAGAGAGAGGGAGAGAGUAGACAACUGGAAAAGAUAAAAUAAAAGCCAAGAAAGAAAGAAAGAAUUCCUAUGAGUUAGUGCUAGCUGCUGCUGCAGCUGCUGCCUCUUCUUCAGAUUUGAUUUAUUAUUAUUUUCUUAAAAAAACAACCCUUUUCUUGUUUUUAAUUCAAGGAAAAAAAAAGCCAGCAGUAAAGAAGAGAAAAAAAAGAAUAUCAGACGAAGAGCAUAAUAAUCAUCAUCAUCAUCAGCUGCACUAUACACUGGUACAAAGCAUGACAGUGUGUAAAAAAUAAAAGAGAAACGGAAGGAUGGGGCUGGAGAGAGAGAGAGAGAGAGAGAGAGAUGAAUGAAUGGAGAUGGCAAAUUAUGAGGAUGUUGAUGAUUAAGAGAGAGAGAGAGUUUGUGUGUUGUGUUGUCAGCAGCUCUCUCUCUCUCUCUCUCACUUUGCAGCUAAUAAUUGUUUCUGACUCUUUUUUUAUUACCAACAUUUUCUUGAUCAUUAUUUUUAUUUACUCAAGAUAAAUAAAUGUUUUAUCCAAGGUAUAGUAUAUGAUCCUAUUCAAUUGGAGAUGGAUCAAUAUAAAUGCAUUUCUGUAGGUAAAUUUUUUUUUUUUUUUUUGGGGGUGGGGGGCUUGGAUGGAAGUAUUUUUGGGCUAAGAUGGAAAAAAAAAUGAAUAUAUAUUGUGUUGAAUUUUCCCUUUUAAAUAUAUUUUGGUAAAAUAUCAAAAAAUAAAAAUAAAAAUGCCCAUGCUAUUAUAAUGAAAAAUACAUCUUGAGAUCCAACAUAUGUUAAGUUAUAUAACAAAGAUUGACAUAAAUUAUUAUAAUUAAUUAGCUAAAAACAAUGGAAAUAUGUCAUUAAUUAUAGAGUAUAAAAAAUAAUUUAUUUUUCAAACAUAAUUACUUCUUAAUAUUGAUUAAACUCUAUUUUUUAUAUAUAUUUAUUUGAAGGUCCAGCAUAUAUUAAGUUAUAUAACAAAGAUUAAUUCCCUAUCCUGUUUCCUUAAAGUAAUUGAAAAAAAUAAAAUUAUUUUUUAAAAAAGAUAAUAAAUAUUUAAUAUCUACCUAUAAAUUCAAAGGAUCAGUCACCCCACAAGUACACACCCAUCACCUCAUCUCUGAGAUUAAAAUUCUCUGCAAACCAUCUCCAUUUUAAUCUCCAAUAAUAUUUAAUAUCUACCUAUAAAUUCCACCAGCAUUGACAUGGCCGUGUCCAAUUGGGUCCAUUGCUUUAACUUUAUUAAGAUUGGCAACACAAUAUUCCUUUUUCUUUUAUUUCUUAAAGAAUUUCAAUUCAAACUUAAUAUUAUUUUAUUUUCCUUUUUUUAUGUGUUUUCCUUGUAAGAUUUGAGCUGGACAAAGAUAUAGAAAUACAAGAAUAAUAAUAUGUACGCUCCAACUUAACCAUAGUUCAAAAUUAACCCAACCCAAACCAACUAAAUCAGGCUAAAAUGAUGUUCAUUAAUUUAAUUUAUACAAUAUGCAUCAUUUCUGGACACACCUUAAAUAGCCGUUUGUUCUUGGUAUGUAAUAACUACAAAACGAAAAAAAUAUAUUGUUAGUGUAUAAAUUAUGUAUAUAGAUCAUAUCGACGAUCGUAGUGAGAUGGAUUCUCGAUUCCGGUCUAAAUAUAUCAUUUAUGUUCUAUCUAAUUAGUAAUUAUUUAAAAAUAAGUAAAUAUAUAAUAAAUAACUUGAAAAAAAAACAUAUAUAAACCGUUGUUAUGUUUACCUAUAUAAUUAUAUAUUUUGUAUUAAUAUUUAAAUACAAUGUAAAUGAUUGUGUGAUUUGGUAUGAAUGUAUUACAUUUGACUCAUGGAUUAGUUAAUUUAGUAUUUUUUAAUAGUUUUAAUGUGCUAAUAUUAAAAAUUAAAAAAAUAUUAUUUUAAUUAAAAAAUACAAUAAGCCAUGUUACAAAACAUACACUUUAUAGGUGUGCCUCACAUUGUUUUCAUAUUCAACAUUAUAAUUGUUUUUCAUGUUAAAAAAUAAGUUACUAUUUUUUGAAAUAAUAUGAUUUGUUGUGUGUCUAUUCAUAUCUAAUUUGAUAUCUUAUUGUGUGUAAUAAUAAUAAUAAUAAUAAUAAUAAUAAUAAUAAUAAUAAUAAUAAUAAAUUCUGUAUUUGAAUGUAUUAAAUAUGUCACAUACAGUCAGUAUAUUACAAAUCACUCAAGAUUCUUCUUUAAUUUCAUGAGUGUGUUUUCAAAAAAUAAUAAUAAUAAUAAUCACACAUUGUUUUAUUCACUAAGAUAAUUAUUGUUUCUUUAUUUUUAAUAUGAUAUGAUUGUAUGCAUGUCUGAUUCAAUAUUUGAAUGUAUUGCAAAUGUCUCGUCUAAUUAGUAAUUAUUUGAAAAUAAAUAAAUCUAUAACAAAUCAUUCAAGAUUAUUCCUUACACGUAUGGAUCGUUGAGUUUUUUUUUUUAAAAUCACACAUUAAUGUAAUUAUUUUUUAUGUUAAUGAAACAAUUAUUUUUGUUUUUUUAAUACAACAUGAAUGGUUGUGUUUCUAAGCCUCUAUGAUUUGAUGUUUGAAUGUAUUGCAUGUCUUAAAUAUCUAGUCCGUAAUUAUUAAUUUGAAAGUAUAAAUAAUCAUACAAGAUUCUUUUUUACACGUACGCAUUGGUAAAAAAAAAAAAAAAACACACUGUUGUUAUAUUCACCAUCGUAAUUAUUUCCCAUGUAAUAAAAAAAGUUAUUGUCUUUAAUAUAAUAUAAUAUGUUAAUAAAACCAUUACUGAUAUUAUUUAAUAUAAUGCAAACCAGAAGUUAUUUGAAAGUAAAUGCGUAUACAAGUUAAUUAAACAACCUCAUUAAUUUAUACUAGUCAUAGGCGUAAAAUAUUGAAGAGGAAAAUAAUCCUAAUCAAUAGUUAUUGAGUUAUUUUAGGGAUUCCUAAACUAAAAAAAAUAAAAAUAAAGUUAUCAAUUACAAUAAUUUAUUUUCUAAAAUAAAUAGAAAAAUUAUAAGAACAUCGUAAAGUAAGAUAUUUUUCUAAACUAAAUAGGAAAUAAUAAUAAUUAAGAAAACUAUUUUUUUCUAAAAAUACUUAUGCAUCAGUCUCUCUAUGUUAGAAAAAAACUCAUCCUCAAGUUUAAAUUGCUCUUAUCUCGAUCUCGUGAAUGUCCAAUAAAAAAUUUUCAUUCCCUUUACAUAAUAAACCUUUCCAAUAAAAACAUCAUAUCUGUCAACAUGUUGAGUCUCUCUAAUAAUAAAAUUAAUCUUAGAAUUAGAAGAAAAUUUGAAAAUCUGAUUCACAACUUUUAUCUAUAGUAUAAGAACAUCAAUUGUGACCUCGUCAAUUCCAAAAUUCUCCUCAAGCAAAUAUGAGGCACAUCUUUUACAAUAUGCUUCAUCAAAAGUCACAUAUGGAACCAUAUCUAUUUUGUUUGUCUUUCCAUGGACAUCACAAACCAAGGAUUUUACAUCUAAAUCUUCUCAUUCAGCAUCAUCUUUAUCAUCCUCGUUUUGAAUUUUAAUGGUUGAUUCCAAUCCAUAAAAAAAUUAAAAUCAUCAAAACUUUCAGUUAUAACACCGAAUUUUAAUGGUUGAUUCCAAUCCAUAAAAGAAUUAAAAUCAUCAAAACUUUCAGUUAUAACAUCGUAUCUAUCAUGAUCAAGAAGUUUCUUCUUGUGAUUAUGCCUUUGAAACGGGUUUUCAAAACUAUCAAUGGACUUGUGAUCACUCUUCUCACAAUCUCCUGCUCCUCACCUUUCUCAAUUGACAUGUUAACUUUGCAAUCUAUCUUAGCAUAUAUUCUAUCAUUAGUUCUUAAACAUCUAUUUUCAAUUCUAUAAUUUGUAUCUAGAUUUCUUUUAUCAUCAAUUCUUGAACAUUUCUUUCUCGAUGAGGAACCUAGUCAUCUUCUUAUACUUAAGCAUGUCGUUCUGUUAUCUCUUUCAGCCAUGAUUAUUUCAACACACAACAAGCAAAUAACCACUAGGUUCAUUAGACUCUAAUAUCAACUAAUACAGAUAAAAACACAAACAAGAAGGCAACAAGCUUGAAAGGCAUAAUUAAAAUUGAAUAAGGUUAUCAAACAGAAUCCUAAUUCAUAUAAAUUUAACAACCCUAAUUAUACUAGUACUAGGUCUACCUUGCAGAGAAAAAAGUCUCAGUCAAUAAUUAUUGAGUUAUUUUAGGAUUCAUAAACUAAAAAGGAAAACUAAAAUAAAAUUACCAAUCUUAAUAUUUGAUUUCCUAAACUAAAUAAGAAAAAAAUAUAUAAAAAUAUCAUAAGUAAAAUAUUUUUCUAAACUAAAUAGAAAAUAAUAAUAACUAAGAAAAAUAGCUUUUCCUAAAAACUACCUCCAUCAAUUAGGCCCAUGCCUAUGCAUAUUUAAUUUGGUGUUUGGAUCCAUUACACAUGUCCAAUCUAUUCAAUUCUUAUUUAGUAGUAAACUAGAUAAAUAGUCCAUGUUUUGCUGUGGAUUAGACUAUUUUUUUAACAUAAAAAAAUGCUUAGGUGCUGCAAAUAUUUUUUAAAAAAGGAAAAUAAAUUUACAGCUUGAGUCAUAUACCCUCCUUAUUACAAUAAGAUGACUCCAUUCAAUUAUAUGAUAGAAAAAACAACAAUACUAAAUGGACAAAAUUUUAAAAGAGAAAAGGUGAUAACGAUAACCAAAAGAAAAUGAAUGUUUGUUAAAAGGAAAAAAAAUUACAAAGUUGAAUUCCAAAGUAACCCAAUGUUAAAUAAUAAAAUUGAAAAAAAAUUAAAAAUGACAAAAUAAAGCUCCUCGAGUCAACCCAAGCUCGAAAGGAAAACUUGCAACCUGGGUCGUUAGAUCAUGUCAACUUUAUAGAAAGCAAAUUAAAAAAAAAUAACGAUGGCAAAUCCAUAUGUGUUUAUAUUUUUAUUAACUUUAAUAUGUUAAUAAAAAUAAAUUUAUUUUUAAAUAAUAUUUUUAAUAUAUUAGACCUUGCAUAAUAAUUUUUUUCUUUUUAUUUCAUUCAAUUAGUUUCCUAUGUAUUUAUAUUUUUAUUAACUUUAAGAAACAGAUUUAGCAGACAUAAACAAUUAAAUGUCUCAUUUUAAAGGAUCAAAUAUCUUAGUCUACAUCCAUCUCUUAAUUUUUCCAGUUUCUUUUUUAGUUAUUGUUAACGAUUUUCUUUGUUUAUUUACAUAAUAAAUGAUUAUCAAUUUAUUUAAUUAAAUAUUUGCAUAAAAUUUUCUAUUUACACAUUAAUUUUUUAUAUAUAAAAAAAAACAUAUUAAAAUAUUCUGUAUACCCGUUAACAACUAGUUUAUUAUAUAUUAAGUCAAUAAUUAUAGAAAAAUAAACACGUAUGUAACAAAUCACUCAAUAUAUAUAUAUAUAUAAUCGAACUACCAUUAACAUCAACCUUGCUCAAAUCAUCUCUGAAAAUAAUUAUAAUAAAGAGGUAAAAUUGAAUUAUUUAAUUUUGGUAUUGAAAUCAUGAGAGGAAAGUUAAAGGAGAGGAAAGUUUAUGUCUGGUCCCAUCGGACCCAUCCUAAUAAGUUCCAUGUGAUUGGGUCUGUAGGUUAAUGGCUGUGGGCAACUGCUCUUCUGUACCACUCAUCAUCACCACAUUUUUAACUAGAAUUUCAAGAACAUGACACACACAAUUCUUGACAGCACAUUGCUCUUGUCCAUUUAUUUAUUUAUUUAUUUUAUUUAUUUUAUUUAUUUCUUUUUCCCCAUCUUUUUUACUACUAUAUAUAUACUUUUCGAAGCUGCUGUUUCAUCAAGCCUCUAAUCAUACCCACAUGACAUUAGGGCAGAUUAAAUUAGGGUUUAAAAGAGAAUAUAUAACAUGGUGAGCAUUACAUGAUGAGGAGGAGCGAGCUUACUGCCUCCAUGAUUUCAAGAUUUGUGGACUCCACUUAAUUGGAAACUAUAUUAUAUAAUUCUUAAUUAUAUAUAAUUUAUUUAUUUUGCGUAUGCUAGCUUAGUUUCAUAGAUACAUCUAUGGUUUUGCAUUGCAUACUUAGAGUUUUUUUUUUUAUUAUUAUUAUUAAACAAUAGGUUCUACAUUCGGGAAUAUAUAUUUCGAAUCUAAUCUUUAAUUAUUCGCAUUAAUUCAUUAAUAUAAUUAAAUUUAACUUGUUUGGUUAAUUCUCAAGAGUACUCAAUGAUCAUUUUAAUGAAUUGAAUGAACUCAAGUUGAGUUAAACUCGGAUCCGUUCAACUAUUCCAUGUAUAAUUAAUAUUUCUCAUCUUACAAAUAAAAUUUAAUGGACGGAUAUAUAAAAAACAAAAAUAUAUAUGUAAAAAUAUAUUGUGUAUAUAAAAUAAAAGUGAUUAAUGCAGUAUUAAAUAAGGUUAAUAAAGGGAUCAUUAAUUACUCUAAGAAUUCCCCAAAAUCUAUCAUAAUUAAUCUCCAUUUCACCUAAGAAAUCUUCAACGGAUCAAGAAAAUGAGAAAUAAAAAUUGGAUGAAAUAAGAGUGGAGGGGUGGGAAAAAAAAGAAGGAAAAGACAGGAACAGAUUGGAACAGCUGUGAAAAGGGGCCCAUUUUGUGAGGUGUUAGAACGUGCGUGGCGUUUCUCCUGAGUCUGUGAAACCUUCGCAGCAGCCCACCAACGCCGUCCUCUCUCUCCGUUAAGUCUCUGGCCAAAUGGGUGCGCACAUGGCUUCCCCUUCUUUUUUUCAUCCACUUCAUAUUACCUGUAAAACCCUCCCUUGUCUCAAAUUUCUUGCCAAUACACCCACUUGUCAAACUAUUUAAAAUAUAUGUAAGAAUUUGAUUGAAAAUUAACUGAAUUGAGUGUUUUUUUCAGUUUUUUUUAAAUCAUGUUGGUUUUAGUUUUGGUUUUUAAAAUAAUAAUAAUAAUAAAAACCGAACCAAACAUUUAUGAUAACAAAAAAAAAAACCUUAUUAUAAACUAAAGACCUAUAAUUCAGAUUUGUUUUUCAAAUAUAGCUCAACUGAAAGACCCAUUAAUUAAAUUGGACUUAAUUAACUUUUAAAAAUGAAAAACUAAACCUAUUCGAUUUGUCUUGGUUCAAAAUUUUGUUGAAAAAAAUAUCUGUUUAAUUUGAAUUUUUUUUAUAUCUAAACCAGAAUGCUCACCUCUAAUCCAUUCCUAUCAUGAUUAUAAAGUAAAUUGUUUUCAUAGCUUGUGUCAUUAACAAUGAACUUGGAUACAGUAAGAGUAUGUUUGUUUUUGCAUUCAAAAAAUAUUUUUGAAAUUUAUUUUUGCUUCAAAUUAUAUUUUUUAUGAUUUUAUAUCACUUUGAUGUGUUGAUAUCAAAAAUAAAUUAAAAAAAUUAUUUUGAUAUAUUUUCAAGCAAAAAAUACUUUGAAAAUCAACCGCCGCCACAAUCUCAAACACACUAUCUUCGUCUAGUUCCCAUGUUUUAAACUUGGUUUUAAUUUUAAGAAAAUACUAAAAGAAUUUUUCUUUCAUUAAAACAAUGGCAUACUUCAAAUAUUAUUGAAAAAAAAAUAAUGUAUAAAAAUUAACCUAAAGAUAUUUUUUUGACUAGUAAUUAAUAAAAUCACUUCAAUUUAUGAAAAACAAUAAAGAGUCAAGACAAGCGUGAUAAAGAAAAAAAGAAAGACUUCAAGCAAAACAAAAGGUUAUAUCAAAAUCUUCUCCUUCAACAUCAUCUUUACCAUUCUUGUUGAAUUUUGAUGGUUGAUUUUAAUCCAUAAAAAAAUUAGAAUCAUCAAAACUUUAAGUUAUAACAUCGAUCAUAUAUCAGGAAGUUUUUUCUUGUGCUUAUGUCUUUGAAACGGGUUCUCAAAAUAAAUUAUUCAUGAAUAUGUCAGGAUAUAAGUGUAAUGAUAAAGGAAGAAUAACAAGAUUGAAGAAUUUGGGCUAUCCAUUAAGGCUCUAGCCGAGAGUUAUGCUCUUAAUACAAUUAGGAUUAGAGGUAAUUGCCAAGGAAAAGAUGUUAUAAUCCUAAUUGACAAUGAAAGUACGAAUGGUUUUACGAUUAAUAUGUGAUUAGAGGAUUGAAAGUUAUUGCUUGAAAGGCAGUCAUAAUAAUAGCAAAUAGAAAUGUCAUGUUGUGUGAUGUAUAAAGUCCUCCUAGAUUUACUUGGUUCAUGCAAGGCCACGAAUUCAAGGCAGACACGAGGAUUCUGAAACGGGCAAAUGUGAUGUCGUCUUGAGAUUGAUUGAUUAAGAAUAUAUUCCCCGAUAUAUACUUUUUUUAAUUUCAUUCAGAUGAAGCUAGUCAAAUUAAUAUUUAAAAUGACAUAUUAAACCAGAUAAUACAAAUAAAAUCUGAAAUGUAUCGGAACUUAAUUACCACAUAAAUAUUUUGCCAUCACCGUAACCUUGCAAAACAUAUCACAACGACAUAUUCCGUGCAUUGGAGUGAAAAAUGCAAGCCCGACAGAACACGAAGGUCCUUUUCCUUUUCCAAGGAAAGAAAAAAACCUACGGCAACUCAAAGAUGACCCUAAUUCAACGUUUUGAGGAUAGGGUUCAUCCCUCACACUAGAAAAAAAAAAAAAAAAAAACCCGCCCGCCUAGUCCUCCCGCUGCUUGAAAUCCAAAUUUGUCCUACACGGCCGCGCCGCAUGACACUGCCCACGCCCACCUCCUCUUCUUUUCGGUAUCUCAGCAGCUUGUGUUCCAGGUUUUUAGCCAACAUGUUCUCUUCUGACAAGAAUGUGUAACACUCUUUAACCCUUAAUAGCCAGCAGUCAACUCAUGCGAGUCUUCUUUUCCAAGAAAGAAAACCCAACGAGCCUUGCUGGGCUAAUACAUUAAUGGUCUUGCAUGUCCACGGCAGCAAUGACUGUAGCGAAAAGAUUAUCCCCAAAACAUUAGUGAGAUCUCCAGGUAGAAAUCUCGAGUCUUAACCAUUGGAGUUUGGGCUCCCUUGGAAGUAAAUUCCAUGGUUGAUUAGACAGCAAAAUAAGAACAUGCUUAUGUAGUUGUGAACGAGUGGAAGAAAUUCUAGGAUGAAAAAGAAAACAAUAAGGAUAAAAUUUAGGUUCCCAAGCAAAAUCCCAUCAAGUCAAAAAAGGGUCACCAUCACUUGAAGUGAUCUAUUAACGACUCCUAAAGCAUCGUUAAUUGUCCACUUUAUCAAGGCGACAGCUCCCACUAGAACUAAAAGGACUUGCACCCAUCAGAAUGAACAAGUUGCACUUCUGGCACUUAAUGCUUUGCUGUGCCAUCAAACUGUUUCUGGCCCUUCAAAAGCCACUUUAAACCCCUGGCUUUAGUCACUAGUGAAAUGGAUGCACAGUGCAUGCACUAGUUCACACUCAACUUGCAACUUCAAAUGCAGCUAACCUCCCAGUUCCUGAGAGAGGUUCUCGGCCACAAAUCCCACCUGAUUUGCUAGUUAUGCAAUCUGGAAGUAACUAAACCAUAUUAGUUGAUGGAUAAAGAUUAAAGCACUGAAAUGUAAAGCUAUUAAAAAGCAUCGCUGGUGUUAGACAGUUUUUCCUUCAUGCUAUGGUUUAUACUUGCAUUUGUAGUUUGAGACAGGUGUAUUGACAUAGGAUGGACUGCACGAGAAAAAAAGAACAUGCAAUUUACCCAAUGAACCAAAAUCAUGAGAACUCUCAAGUAAAGAUCCAUAAGGAAGAAAAGAUGGAAGAUCUACUCCAGAAAAGAAUGAAGAAAACCGACAGGGCCUCUAGUAACACGGCUACACGGAGAAUCUUGCGUUAGUUGUCUAUUUCACUCAAGAAGAAUGAUUGGAAAUGGUAUAGGGAUCAAAUCAAGAACCAGCUGUGUAUACGGACAGUCCUAUGCGGAGAGAUUAUUCAAAGUUAAACCACCUAGGAAAUCUAUAACGCAAGAGGACAACCACAUCAACACAAUCAAUGAGAAGAGAAAAAAAAAGGCUCCAUUAAGAUGCUAGUCUGAGCCUUUGAUAUCACUCCAGAAAAGGUUAGAAAGAGGAUAGGUUUCUUGAAGAACGAGCUGAAACAUGACUUUGACUAUUCUUUUUUGCGUAGACCCAUUGAACUUUGUCAUUUCCAUGCUUCCUAGGGUCUUGCUCAAACAAUUUCUCACAAACUAAGAGAUGCCCAAAUAUCUCAUUCGUUUAUGACAAAGAUAGGUAAGAGAGACUCCUUAAUGCAAAAGUCAAAACGUAUGCCUUAAAGCAUUUUUUAACUAGCAACUCAUAGAAUAAAAAACAAAGAUUCAGACUAAAAGAAUGAGAUACAAUCAUCACAAAUUACAAAAAGUUGUUGACAAGAUUACCAAAAUGUUCUUUCAUCUCACUCACAAAAACCCUGCAUCCCUAACCUACCAAGGUUUCCGAAGAGAAAAUAUGACACAAUUGGAGAGCGUGAGAGCUUUAGAAUAAUGAACUCCGUAAGAUCGUAAUUGGACCAAUAAGGCAACAAACAUAAUGAAUUAAUUGGAUGAUUUAGCUCUUUCUAGCAUAACAACAGCUGACCGGAGGCAAUGAACUCCAAGUCAUUGUAGGUCCACCGUAGAAGAGAAAAACUGCACAAGGCGGGAGGCAUUUAAAUGUGAGAAAAUAUAAACACAUCUCAAUUAAACAGCAUUGAAUUGCUGACAUGGCUCCCCCAAAGACUUAUCUAACACUACCACAUAACUUUUGACACAUUGUUCUUUUUUCUAACGUGUCCUUGUAAGGUACACAAAUUGGAGACACGAUGCAAGUUGAGUUGUGUAUGAUGCACUCAUAUGAAUCCAUAUGAUGAUGUGCUCAUAAGUUGCACGAGAUUAAGGAAAGAGUAAUGGGGUUGGGGGGGGGGGGGGUUGUGUAGAUCAGCAAACCCUUCAAAUUUACUAGUUCCAAAUAUUGCGUAUUAUCCAUACCAUUAGACCGUAAUAAGUAUGAUACAAGCUGAAUAAUACAGAAAAAAUAUGCAUUAAUGAGCACUGAAAGUACACAAAUUGAAUACAAGAUUGUAAGGGAUGUGCUCAAAGAGUUGCAUGGGGUUAAGGUAAAACCCAUGGUGUUGGAUCCAACAUAUCAGCAGAAAAGCAGAACAAUGUGGUAAGAUAGUCAACUAGGUUCUAAUUAGAACAGAAUGCCAAGCAGAUGCACGAAAAUCCUAUCAAGGGCUUUCCUUAUAAAGUAAAAAGGACAUAUCAAACCAACACCAAAUAAUUGGGAUGAUAUUUAACUGAACAUCUACUGCAAUGAGUGGGUGGCACAAUCAAAGAUCUAAUUGCUCGAACAAUAGUGUUCAACAGAGAGUUGAAGGUACAAGAAAAAAAUAAAAUUACUAGAGUUCACAGCAAAACACAGACAAUUAAAAAUAGGACAAAUGAAUCUUGGAGUUUUCAUUUGUAAACUAACAAAAAUUGUUUCUCACAUCAUUAGCAAUGUUUACAAGUUAGAUAUAGACUUCAAAUUAUUUACCUUCCGAAGAAAAAGGAAGGCACAGAAUGUAGUCCAUGAAGUGAAGGUCUGUGAUCUCAUCUUAAACUCAAUUUGUUAGCAUGGUUUUCAAAAUGCCAGAUGCCAUUCGGUAAACCACUGUUGCAAGAAGGAGCCAAACAAUGAUGCUGUACAAUAUAAAGCACAGGCUGGGAAAAGGGCCUUCUUCAAGCAUAAAAUAAUCCCCCCAGCAAUGAUAUCGAGUAGACGAAGUGCUACCAUUCAUAUUCACACGGAAUCAGCAAAAGAACCAAAAGAUCCCUUCCCACACUGUCUAACUGAUAUUGUAAGGAGUUCAUCACUUGUUUGAUUCAGUUUGCAACACAGGCGACGUGGUGACUGUCCAUGAUAUAUAUUUAAAAUGUCAACAUUUAACUUGUAAGGAAAAGUUUGAAAAUCAGAGUAGACGAUGCUGAGAAUAAAAAAAAAAUACAAAGGGAACUCACCAAAUGCCAGUUCUUUAGAGGAUACCCCAAAGCCUGAAUACGCCCCACAUAAGGAAGAGGAGCCGAACGAGGAAAGCAGAGAACUUUUCUUUUCAAAUCAUCUUUCAAUCUCCCCGCCCGCACAUAUGUACCCAGAGUAGUGUUGCCUUGUCUUUCCACAUCUUCUAAGAAGAAGAGGACUGGACUCUUACAAACAGAUUUGGAGGGAUCCCUAGUAUCCAAAUCAAACUCAUUCAGAUUAUGAAUCUUGUUCCAAGCAGAGAAAGUCAUUUCUGAGCGCUCAAGGACCCGGGGUAGCACGAUGCUUGGGAACACUUGAAUAGCAUAACCAAGCGAGACAGAAAAAGUUAGGCGGCGUGCAUGGUCAUAACAGAUUGAUCGCUGCAAGAAGCUCAUAAGAUCAACCUUCAUGGCCUUAGUGAACAAUUUCAAACUCUCCAAAGAGCUCAUCCCAGGGUAAAUAGGCUCCACGACCUCUACAUGAUGAAUUGACACAAAGGGUGAAAUCGGGUGCGCAGAUAAAAGACCAUGAGCGCUACCCCUGAUAUCCCACUGCCAUAACAAACCAACCACAACUUAAAUCCUAGAAUUCAAGGGGUCUAAUUCUCCAGACUUUAACAUAAAACCACUAACUUCUUAGCAGCACAAGCCAUAACACAUAAUUACUAAUAAAAUACAAGUUUUCUAAAAGGUGAAAAUUAGAAAAUGAUUAAGAGCAGGAGGGCAGCAGUAGUAGAUAAACAAACCUGGUGAAACCCAUGUUCUCUUGAUAAAGGAACGCCAAGCUCGGAAAUACAAGCGAGGAGUCUAUCAUCACUUCCAUAUAACCUAUGAUAUCUCUCAAGACAAUCAUCAAGAACACUAUAAAGCGCCUUGGCAAGAGGAUAACUUAUAGCAAUCCCGCCACCUCCAUAAGCCAUAUUAUGACUAAAAUAAGUAUUAGCAGAGUGACUCUCUGAAGGACCGCCGAUAUAAACCAUCUCAUUACAAUCAUACUUACUCAAUACAUCAACCAAAUUAUCUACACUAAAAAUAGUAUCAUCAUCUCCCAAAACAAACCAUCGAACAUCAGACAAACCUAGUCGAAAAGUUUCCAACACAAUGCGCGCAAUCCGAAGCCCAGAAGGAUGUCCGGUCGGAUUCGUGUACCGAAACCGAGAAGUAUCCUCCGAAAUCAUAAUCCUUGGCAAUGACUCAUCCCAUUCUUUAUCAUCCACUUGCUCUUCCACCCAAACAUGACCCCGCAUUGAAGAGUCCUUUCUCCACCAUAGCCUUAUAAACUCUUUCCUUCUCUUCCACAGCUGAGAAGACCCUGCAAUGCCGAAAACUAUAUGAUUUAACGCUAGCCCUGCUCCAUCUCUUCGUCUCUCCUCCUCCGAUAGGCUCCUGUUUCUUCCUAAUGGAAGAGACGGAGCAAUUCCUUCAAGAGACAAAUCCUUAUCUUCUUCCUCAACCCCAUUUGGAUUCUGACUUUGUGGUUUCCACGGGAGCGUGUGCAGGCUUCCUUCCCAGUUCUUAAGCCUAUGCCAACACCACCGAGCAGUAGUGCCGGAGAAAACAAGAGACAGCCAGGCUGUAGUGGUAAUCACAAGUGCAGCCACGACAACAACAGCGGUACAAGUCCGACUCUGACGCCAUCUACGACUGCGAGUGCGGGGCGGCGAGCGGCAGAGAGGGGAGGCGGAGGCGGAAGAAAAAUCCAUACUGAUUUUGUGCUGCUUGGCUGAAAACAAAUCAUCUCCGUCUCAUAAGAGAACGGAAAAAAGAGAAUCUGCGGGUAGAGAGAAAUUUAUUAUAAUUUGGUUUGUUCGGAGAGAUUAAGGAGAGGUCUUUGGGUAUUUUAAGUGUCUGUGGUAGUACGACGACGAUUUGAUUUUUUAUUUUAAAUUUAAAUUUUCAUUUAAGAAGUUUGAGAUAGAAUAUAUUAAUUAUUAAGGGAUUUUAUUUAAAAAAAAAAAAAAACUUUGCUAGGGGCUCACUUCACCCGAAUCUUUGGUACCAAUUUACCGGGAAAUCUAAAACCAUAUCGUUUUCGUUUUUUAAUAAAAGAUAUUGUUUAAAAUAAAAACUAAAAAAUAUUGAAAUUCAUCCUAUUAAGUUUUACUUGAAUUUAGCUUUAGUGUUCAGAUUUAACAAGUUAAUUUCCAACUAGUUUGAAAUAAAACUUGAUUUAGAUCAAGUUCUGAAUUAAAAAGUUAGCAACUCAACCAUUUAAACAACUUAAUAGCUAUAGUUUAUUCUAUUAGAAUUUAAAAAAAAAUCUUGAAGUUUACCAAAUUAGAUCUCAUCUGAAUUUAGCAAAUUCGGUUGGAUUUAAUCGGAUUUGAUAGUAUUUUUAUUUCCAAUCAAUUUAAAAUAAAAAUUAAUAGAUGAAACUUUUAUAAAAAACAAAAAAAACCCACACAUGCACCUUAACAAAAUGGGCCAAGUGGUGUGGGUCUACAUUUCAAACUAACAACACCUAGUUUUUUUGUUUUUUUAUUUUUGUGGGGAAAGUGUUAUAGCAAUAAAUAGUAUUUUUCCCACAUGUUUUAUAAAACAGACUCGUUAAAUAAAUCAUUAUUUAUUUCAUCACGAAACACCUAAGUUAUAAAAUUUAAAUUAAAUUUCAUCAAUUUAUAAACAAAUAUAAAUUUAUAAAUUCUCAAACAAACUCUAACAUGUACAAAUCAUAUAUUUAUAAUACAAAUUUCUAUGGAAAAAAGCUAUAAAAACAAGUAAACAUCGAAACAAGAUACAUAUACUACAAAAUAUACAAUAAAAAUUAAUAUUUUAAAAUUGAGUUAAAAUAAAAAAAAUGGAUAAUUUUGCUUACUUGAAGUGGAGAAUCCUCAAUAAAAUUUGAAUCAGAACAGAGAUGCUGACAAAUUGAGUGUUGGGUGGCUGAAUUUGUAACGAGAGAUUGAUUUGUGAUAAAAUUAAAUGGGGUUGUGAUGUUUGUUGCACAGAAAAAAUAGAAAAAGAAGAAGAAAUGAGGGAUGAAGAGAGGAAGGUCGUUCGUCAAGUCAUAAAUUAAAUAUUUCAGAUAGAUUUACCGAUAGAUUUAAUCAA